AUGUGAUGUGACGCAUAUGCCAUAGAUGAUGAUAGAUCUUACCGGUGACUGUUGGUCAGCUUGAUGGGCGUGUUAAAAAAUGGUGUUACCAACCUAUGAUGUCAACUAUUCCCUCCGUCCCGGAGUAACUCUUAACUGGUCUGUUGUAAUGUGGUGUGCCUGAAAAAACAGACACGCUCGUCUAAUGUAUUUUAUGUACUACCCCCUCCAUUCGGAAAUACAAGUCUUUUUUUUAAGAUUCCAAUAUAGUCUACAUAUGGAGCAAAAUGAGUGAAUCUACAUUUUAAAAUACGUCAAUAUUCAUCCGUGUGUAGUUUAUAUUAAAGUCUUUAAAAAGACUUAUAUUUAGGAACGCAGAAGAAAGUAGAUAAUUGCCAGUGCGUUGCAACAAUAUCAUGAAUAUUUAAGUAGGUUAGCAUGGGAUGUACCUGCUCCUCAUGUUAGUGUGAUUUUGUAAAAAUAAUGGUGAUUUUUAUUCGCUAAGCAUUUUCUUUAUCAAAGAACACAAUAAUUUAGCAUAUAAUAUUUUGUGAGCACUCUCACGACAAAACUGGGUUAAUAGAUGUUGGAUGCAUAAGUAGUAUCUCUACUUGAUGUAAAAGAUUUGGCUAGCAUAAGAUGAGAAGUAAGCUUAAACAUGUUGGAGAUCCAUGACAAUAUAACUUCUAUUCGGAUAUAAGAAAACAUAACACAUUAUAUUGUUUUCCUUGUCCGACAUCACUUUUUAGCAUAUAAUAUUUUAAUGAAUGCUCACAAUAACAAAAGAGGUUCAAGAUAGUAUAUUUAUACAUGAAAUCUUUUUUUCUUUAUUACUUCCUAUUAAUUGUAACAAUAACUAAAACUAUGUUUGUCAACUUCCAACAAAUUUCAUGUGACAUACUCCUUAUAUGUGAAGUCAUCACCUUUCAUAAGAUUAUUAUAUAAUCUUUUUAUUUCUUUUAUAUUAUUUUCUUUUCCAAGAUCAAAACAAGAGAGCAAAGCCCUCAACUCAAAACCACUUUUUAUUAUAUAACUCUCGAACUCAAUUACAUAGAUAAAUCAAAAGCAAAACUAAAAGAGUAGAUCAUACUAAAACUUUUAUUCUACUAGAUCAAGAUAUAACCAAAAUGAUCGAACUAACAUAAACGAUAAAAGUACAAAUGUGAUAGUGAUACGAUACCGGGGCACAUGCCCCAAGCUUGUCACAAGCCAAUGGGAGUGCCCAUACCCAUGUACUCAAGUCUCCUUCUUCGAAGGUGGUGAUGACAAGGUUGAUGAUGUGGAAGGCUUGUCCUCUGUCUUUCAAGGCAUAGGCUCACCAUCGUAAAAGGAUAAACGAGUCUUUGAAAUUCUCAAAAUCUGCAGCCAAACUCAUCCUCUUAAAUCUGUAUUCAUACUCACAGUUUUGGUUUUGCAUGUCUCAAUGGAUUGAGGGUGUUGCAUCACCUCCGGAAGAUAGUGGUUGACGACCUUCUCGUAGAACUUGUCCUUGGGGGCUCUUGGAGACGUUAUGGCGAUCUAGAUCUGUCAGAAAAGUAGCUCGAAAUAGGAACAGAGGAUAUCACCGUGAUACGGUGGUCAAAACCUUCGGGAGAUUAUAUAAUAAAUUUUUACCGUGCAUAACAAGUAUAUGGGGGAAAACAAAGUCCAGAGGACACACGAGAUGGCCACAAGCCCGGGAGGCGCGCUCCCACGGCUUGUUGCCUCCUCGCGCGCUAUUCGGACUACAUAUUUUGCUAUUUUUUAAAUAUUUCAAAACGGAGUACAAUUGCCUUUGAAAAAAAUUUGGAGUCGGUUUACUUGCCAUAUCAUAUAUCUAUUCCUUUUUAGAGUUCUGGAGCGUGUUGGAAAGUUUCCCUUAUGUACUCCUCCGGUGUUAUGGUAUGAAUAAUAUUAGUUUGAACGUUUAUGGGAGUACCUGAGAUAAAAUGUUUGAUUAUUUGCCCAUUCACCGCCUUCGGCGUUGUUGAUCUUGAUGGCACUGGAUAAACUUCUUCAAUAAUGUAAGGCCCUUUCCAUUUAGAGAGAAGUUUUCCUGCAAAAAGUCUUAAUCAAGAGUUGUAUAACAAGAUUUGGUCACCUACAUUAAAUUCCCGCUUUUAUAUUCUUUUGUCAUUGUCAUCUUUUAACCUUUUCUUUAAACAUCUUGGCAUUUUCAUAGGUUUGGGUUCUCCAUUCAUCAAGUGAGCUAAUGUCAAAUAACCUCUUUUCACCGGCAAGUUGGAAUCAUAGUUGAGCUCUUUAAUUGGCUAAUAAGCUUUGUGUUCUAAUUCAAGAGGUAAGUGACAUGCUUUUCCAUAAACCAUUUUAUAUGGAGACAUACCGAUGGGAUUUUUAUAAACAGUUCUAUAAGCCCAUAAUGCAUCAUCAAGUUUCUUAGACCAAUUCUUCCUAGAUUUGUUAACACUCUUUUGCAAGAUCAGUUUUAUUUCUUUGUUACUUAAUUCUCAGUAGACUGAGGAUGAUAAGGAGAUGCAAUUCUAUGGUUAACAUCAUACUUAGCAAGAAAUUUACGGAAAUCACCAUGAAUAAAGUGUGAGCCACCAUCAGUCAUUAAAUAUCUAGGGACUCCAAAUCUCGGGAAAAUAACUUCUUUAAGCAUUUUAAUAGAGGUGUUAUGAUCAGCACUACUAGUUGGGAUAGCUUCUACCCACUUAGUAACGUAAUCAACAUCAACUAAAAUAUGAGUAUACCCAUUAAAGGAUGGAAACGGUCCCAUAUAAUCAAAUUCCCAAAGAUCAAAUGGUUCAAUGACAAGUGAAUAAUUCAUUGACAUUUUCUGACGUCUACUAAUGUUACCAAUUCUUUGACAUUCAUCAUAAGACAAGACAAACUUACAAGCAUCUUUGAAGAGAGUAGGCCAAUAAAAACCAGAUUGUAAUACCUUGUGCACAGUUUUAUCUCCAGCAUGGUGUCCUCUGUAAGCCUCGGAGUGACACUUGCGUAGGAUCUAUUCCUGUUCAUGCUCAGGUACAUAUUGUCUAUUAACACCAUCUACUCCUUCUUUAUAAAGGUGUGGGUCAUUCUAGAAGUAAUGUCUUAAAUCAUAGAAAAACCUUUUUUUUGUUGGUAUGUGAAACUAGGUGGUAUAAAUUUAGCAAUAAUAAAAUUAGCAUAGUCUACAUACCAUGGAGUACUACGAGAAGCAUUUAUAACGACUAAUUGUUCAUCAGGAAAAUUAUCAUCAAUAGGUAGUAGGUCAUCAAGAAUAUUUUCUAACCUAGACAUGUUAUCUACUACGGGGUUCUAGCUCCUUUCCUAUCAGUAAUAUGUAAAUCAAAUUCUUGUAGCAAGAGAACCCACCUAAUGAGUCUAUUUUUAGCAUAUUUAUUUUCCAUAAGGUAUUUAAUAGCAGCAUGGCCGGUGUGAACAAUUACUUUAGAAUCAACAAUAUAAGAUCUGAAUUUAUCACAAGCAAACACAAUCGCUAAAAAUUCUUUUUUAGUAGUAGCAUAAUUUCUUUAGGCAUUGUCUAGAGUUUUACUAGCAUAAUGGAUGACAUUUAAUUUCUUAUCAACUCUUUGUCCUAGAACAGCACUGACAACAUAAUCACUAGCAUCACACAUAAUUUCAAAGGGUAGGUUCCAAUCAGGUGGUUGAACAAUAGGUGCAGAAAUUAAGGCUUUCUUAAGUAUUUCGUAGGCUUCUAAACAAUCAUCAUCAAAAACAAAUGGAACAUCUUUUUGCAAAAGAUUAGUAAGAGGCCUAAAUUUUUUAGAGAAGUCUUUAAUAAAUCUCCUAUGGAAACCAGCAUGACCAAGGAAGCUUUUUAUACCUUUGAUAUCUUUAGGACACGACAUUUUUUCAAUAGCACCUACUUUAGCUCUAUCAACUUCAAUACCUUAUUCGGAAAUUUUAUGCCCCAAGAUAAUACCUUCAUUAACUAUAAAGUGUCGCUUCUUCCAAUUCAAGACAAGAUUAGUUUCUUCAUAUCUCUACAAAACUCGGUCAAGGUUGCUUAAGCAAUCAUCAAAAGAAGUUCCGUAUAUGAAAAAAUCAUCCAUGAAAACCUCAACAAUCUUUUCACAAAAGUCAGAGAAUAUAGCAGUCAUACAUCUUUGAAAAGUAGCAGAUGCAUUGCAUAAACCAAAAGGCAUACAUCUAUAAGCAAAAGUACCAAAAGGGCAUGUAAAAGUAGUUUUCUCUUGAUCCUCUUGUGACACAGGUAUUUGGAAAAACCAGAGUAUCCAUCUAGAAAGCAGAAAUGUGUAUGUUUUAAUAGUAUUUCUAGCAUUUGAUUAAUAAAAGGUAGAGGAUAAUGAUCUUUCCUAGUAGCUUUGUUUAAUUUUUUAAAAUCGAUUACCAUUCUAUAACCUGUGAUAGUUCUUUGUGAGAUAAGUUCAUUUUUAUCAUUAGGAACAACAGUAAUACCUCCCUUCAUAGGGACACAAUGAACAGGGCUUACCCAUCUACUAUCAGCUAUGGGAUAUAUUAUACCUGCUUCCAGAAGCUUUAAUAUUUCAUUUCUUACCACUUCUUUCAUUUUUGGAUUUAACCGUCAUUGAUGAUGAACAACUGGUUUAGCAUCAGGCUCCAUAUUAAUUUUAUACUGACAUAGAGUGGGACUAAUGCCCUCAAGAUCAUCAUGAGUAUAUCCAAUAGCGGCACGGUGCUUCCUCGAAGUUUUCAAUAAUCUCUUUUCUUCAUGCUCUAAAAGGUUAACACUAAUAAUAACAUGAUAUCUCUUCUUUUCAUCAAGAUAAGCACAUUUCAAAGUAUCAGGUAAUUGUUUAAGCUCAAACACGGGAUCGCUCUUGGGUGGAAGAGGAUCUCCAAGAGUCUCAACAUGCAAAUUGUGUUUCAAAAUAGGCAUUUUUUAGAGAAUAUUUCAUCUAUUUCGUUUUUUUCAUUCAUAAACAUAUCAUUUUCAUGGUCUAGCAAAUAAUGUUCUAAAGGAUCAAUAGGAGGCACGACAAUAGAAGCAAGACCAAUAAUUUCACCUUUACUAGGCAAUUCUUUAUCAUGAGGUUGUCUAUGGAAUUGGGAGAAAUUAAACUCAUGAGACACAUCCUCGAAACUUACACUAACAAUUUCUUUCUCACAAUCUAUCUUAGCAUUAACAUUGUUCAAGAAAGGUCUACCAAAUAUAAUGGGACAAAAGUCAUCUUGUGGGGAAUCUAAAACUAGAAAAUCAUUAGGGUAUUUUAUUUUCCCACAUAAGACUUCAACAUCUCUAACAAUCCCAAGUGGUGUGACAGUAUCUCUAUUAGCAAGUUUAAUAGUAACAUCAAUAUCUUCUAUUUCAGAAGGUGCAAUAUCAUUCAUAAUUUUUUGAUAUAAAGUAAAAGGUAUUGCACACACAAUAUCACCCAAAUCACAUAAGCCAUGAUAACAAUGGUCUCCUAUUUUAACAGAAACAACAAGCAUGCCAACAGUAGGUCUAUGUUUAUCUUUUUCAUCGGGUUUAACAAUUCUAGUGGCUUCAUCACAGAAAUAAAUAAUAUGCCCAUCAAUAUUUUCGCCCAAGAGAUCUUUAACCAUAGCAACAUUAGGUUCAAAUUUAAUUUGUUCAGAGGGCGUAGGUGUUCUUGUAUAACUCUUACGGACUACACUUAAAGCUUUAGCAUGUUCUUUUAUCCUAACAGGAAAAGGUGGGUUCUCAACAUAAGCAGUAGGAAUGACUGGAUCAACAUUAUAAAUAAUGGUUUCUUCUCCAGCUUUAAUGGGUUCUACUACUUUUACAUCAAUGUGAGGAUGAUAUUUAAACCACCUCUCCUUAGGGAGAUCAACAUGAGUAGCAAAUGACCCACAAAAAGAAGCUACUAUCUCAGAGUCAAGUCCAUAUUUAGUGCUAAAUUCACAAAAAAUAUCGGUAUCCGUAAAAGAUUUAACACAAUCAAACUCAAGGUUUAUACCAGACUCCUUACCUUCCUCAAACUCCAAAUCUUCAAAGUUACGUUUAAUUCUUUCCAAAGGAUCCCAUUUGAAUUCAAUAGUCUUCUUCAUAAAAGAACCAGUACAAGAAGUAUCGAGCAUGGAUUGAUCAUUAUAAGAAAGCCGAGCAUAAAAAUUCUGUAUAAUAAUUUCCCUUGAGAGCUCAUGAUUGGGGCAUGAAUAUAACAUUGACUUAAGCCUCCCCAAGCUUGAGUGAUACUUUCUCCUUCACGAGGCUAAUAUAUAUAUAUGUAUAUAAUUCCGACCACGGUGAACCAGAUGCAUAGGAUAAAACUUCUGAUGAAAUUCCAAUUUCAAUCGGUUGUCAUUCCAAGGUCCAAUAUCAUCCCAUAGCCUAUACCAUGUCAAUGCCUUUCCCUUCAAAGAUAAAGGGAAGACCUGUUGGGAAGCAUUGCAUAGAAAAGAAAAAAAAAUCUACGCACACACAAGAUCUAUCCAUGGAGAUGCAUAACUACGAGCGAGGAGAGUGUGCCUACGUACCCUCGUAGACCGUAAGCAGAAUCAUUUAUUAAUGCAGCUGAUGUAGCCGAACUUCUUCGUGAUCCAACUGAUCAAGUACUGAACGUACGACACCUUCGCGUUCAGGACACGUUCAACUCGGUGACGUCCUUGCCUUCUUGAUCCAGCAAGAUGGGCGAAGUAGUAGAUGAGUUCUGGCAACACGACCGCAUGGUGACGGUGGUGGUGAUGCUAUCUUCGCAGGGCUUCACCUAAGCACUCCAAAAAUAUGAUUGAGGGACGAAACUGUGGAGAGGGGCGCCGCACACGGCUAAGAGAUUGUCGUGGGCUAUGUGUGGCGCCCCCUCCUAGGGCUCCCAAGGAGGCGCCCCCAAGGAGGUCGAAUCCUCCUUGGGCUCCUACCUUAGCCCCCCAUUCCUUAUUUGUGCGCGGGAGGAAGGCUGGGGAGGUGGCGCCCCCCUUACCUUUUUCUCAUGAGGAGGGAAAGGCGGAAGGGGCCAACCCUCCCCCUUUCCUUCCCCUAGGGCCGGCGGCCAGGAAAAGGGCACGCCAGCCCCCUUGUGGGCUGGUGUGUGCCUCCGCUUGGCCCAUUAGGCCCAUAGACAUCCCGGGGCCUCCCGGAACCCCUUCCGGUGAUCCGAUGGUUACUCGGUACAAUCUGAAACCUUUCCGGCGUCCAAAUAACAUCGUCCUAUAUAUCAAUCUUUACCUACGGACCAUCCCGGAGCUCCUUGUCAUGUCCGUGAUCUCAUCUGGGACUCCGAACAACAUUCGGUCACCAAAUCACAUAACUCAUAUAAUACUAUAUCAUCAACGAAUAUUAAGCAUGCGGACCCUACGGGUUCGAGAACUAUGUAGACAUGACCGAUACACCUCUCCGGUCAAUAACCAAUAGCGGAACCUAAAUGCCCAUAUUAGUUCCUACAUAUUCUAUGAAGAUCUUUAUUGGCCGAAUCUUAUGACAACAUACAUAAUUCCGUUUGUCUAUCGGUAUGUUACUUGCUCGAGAUUCGAUCAUCGGUAUCUUCACACGUAGUUCAAUCUCGUUAUCGGCAAGUCUCUUUACUCAUUCUGUAAUACAUCAUCUCGUAACUAACUCCUUAGUCACUUUGCUUGCAAGCUUCUUGUGGUGUGUAUUACCGAGAGGGCCCAUAGACACCUCUCCGAUACUCGUAGUGACAAAUCCUACUCUCGAUCCAUGCCAACUCACUAGACACCUUUGGAGAUACCUGUAGAGCAUGUUUAUGAUCACCCAGCUAUGUUGUGAUGUUUGAUAGCACACAAGGUAUUCCUCCGGUAUUCGGGAGUUGCAUGAUCUCAUAUUCGAAGGAAUAUGUAUUUGACAUUAAGAAAGUAAUAGCAAUAAACUAAACGAUCAUAUGCUAAGCUAACAGAUGGGUCUUGUCCAUCACAUCAUUCUCCUAAUUAUGUGAACACGUUACCAAAUGACAACUCAUGUCUAUGGUUAGGAAACUUUAACCAUCUUUGAUCAACGAGCUAGUCUAGUAGAGGCUCACUAGGGACACAAUAUUUGUUUAUGUAUCCAAACAUGUAUUUAAGUUUCUGGUCAAUACAAUUCUAGCAUGAAUAAUAAACCUUUAUCAUGAUUAAGAAAAUAUAAUAACCAUUUUAUUAUUGCCUCUGGGGCAUAUUUCCAUCACUCUCCCACUUGCACUAGAGUCAAUAAUCUAGUUCACAUCGUCAUGUGAUUAACAUCCAUAGUUCACAUCGCCAUGUAACUAACACCCAAAGAGUUUACUAGAGUCAAUAAUCUAGUUCACACCGCCAUGUGAUUAACACCCAAAGAUUUUAUUAGAGUGUGAUCAUGUUUUGCGUGUGAGAGAGGUUCUAGUCAAUGGGUCUGCAACAUUCAGAUCCGUGUGUACUUUGAAAAUGUCUAUGUCUACAAUGCUCUGCAUAGAGCUACUCUAGCUAAUUGUUCCCACGUUCAAUACGUAUCCAGAUUGAGACUCGGAGUCAUCUGGAUUAGUGGUAAAGCUUGCAUCAACGUAACCCUUUACGACAGACUCUUUAUCACCUCCAUAACCGAGAAACAUUUCCUUAUUCCUCUUUAGGUACCUAAGGAUAAUUUUGACCAUUGUCCAGUGAUCCACUCCCGGAUCACUAUUGUACCCCUUGCCAAACUCAUGGCAAGGCACACAAAUAGGUCUGGUACACAACAUGGCAUACUUUAUAUAACCUAUGGCUGAAGCAUAUGGAAUGACUUCCAUUCUCUCUCUAUCUACUGCCGUGGUCGGAUUUUGAGUCUUACUCAACUUCACACCUUGCAACACAAGCAAGAACCCUUUUGUUUGACUGUUCCAUUUUGAACUUCUUCAAAACUUUGCCAAGGUAUGUGCUUUGUGAAAUUCCUAUUAAGUGUCUCGAUCUAUCCCUAGAGAUCUUGAUGCCCAAUAUAUAUAAGAAGCUUCACCGUGGUCUUUCAUUAAAAAUUAUUAUUCAAGUAUCCUUUUGUGCUAUCUAGAAAUUCCAUAUCAUUUCCAAUCAACAAAAUGUCAUCCACAUAUAAUAUCAGAAAUGCUCCAGAGCUCUCACUCACUUUCUUGUAAAUACAGGCUUCACCAUAAGUCUGUAUAAAACCAUAUGCUUUGAUGACAUCAUCAAAGUAUAUAUUCCAACUCUGAGAUGUUUGCACCAGUCCAUAAAUUAAUCGAUGGAGCUUGCACACUUUGUUAGCACCUUUAGGAUCGACAAAACCUUCUGGUUGCAUCAUAUACAACUCUUCUUUAAGAAAUCCGUUAAGGAAUGCAGUUUUGACGUCCAUUUGCCAGAUUUCAUAAAAUGCGGCAAUUGCUAACAUGAUUCAGACAGACUUAAGCAUCGCUAUGGGUGAUAAAGUCUCAUCGUAGUCAACCCCUUGAACUUGUCGAAAACCUUUUACGACAAGUCGAGCUUUUGCAGAUAGUGACAUUACCAUCAGCGUCUGUCUUCUUAAAGAUCCAUUUAUUCUCAAUGGCUUGACGAUCAUCGGGCAAGUCCACCAAAGUCCAUACUUUGUUCUCAUACAUGGAUCCUAUCUCAGAUUUCAUGGCCUCAAACCAUUUAUCGGAAUCUAGGCUCAUCAUAGCUUCUUCAUAGUUCGUAGGUUUGCCAUGGUCUAAUAACGUGACCUUCAGGACAAGAUUACCGUACCAAUCUAGUGCAGAACAUGCUUUGUUCGACCUAUGAGGUCCAGUAGUAACUUGAUCCAAAGUUUCAUGAUCAUCAUUAUUAGCUUCCUCUCCAGUUGGUGUAGGCAUCACAGGAACGGUUUUCUCUGAUGUGCUACUUUCCAAUUCGAGAGAAGGCACAAUUACCUCCAAGUUCUACUUUUCUCCCACUCACUUCUUUCGAGAGAAACUCCUUCUCUAGAAAGGACCCAUUCUUGGCAACAAAGAUCUUGCCUUCAGAUCUGUGAUAGAAGGUGUACCCAAUUGUUUCCUUAGGGUAUCCUACAAAGACGCACUUAUCCGAUUUUGGUUCGAGCUUAUCAGGCUGAAGCCUUUUGACAUAAGUGUCGCAUCCCCAAACUUUAAGAACGACAGCUUAGGUUUCUCACCAAACCAUAGUUCAUACGGUGUCGUCUCAAUGGAUUGAGACGGUGCCCUAUUUAACGUGAUUGCGGCUAUCUCUAAUGCAUAACCCCGAAAUGAUAAAGGCAAAUCAGUAAGAGAUAUCAUAGAACACACCAUAUCUAAUAAAGUACGGUUACAACGUUCGGACACACCAUUACGCUGUGGUGUUCCACCUGGCAUGAGUUGUGAAGCAAUUCCACAUUGUUUUAAAUUAAGGCCAAACUCGUAAAUCAAAUAUUCGCCUCUGCGAUUAGAUCAUAGAAACUUUAUUUUCUUGUUACAAUGAUUCUCCACUUCACUCUGAAAUUCUUUGAACUUUUCAAAUGUGUCAGACUUGUGUUUCAUCAAGUAGAUAUAUCCAUACCUACUUAAAUCAUUUGUGAGGGUCAGAAAAUAAUGAUACCACCGUGUGCUUCAACACUCAUUGGAUUGCAUACAUCAAUAUGUAUUAUUUCCAAUAAGUCAUUAGCUUGCUCCAUUGUUCCGGAGAACAGAGUUUUAGUCAUCUUACCCAUGAGGCAUGGUUCGCAAGUAUCAAAUGAUUCAUAAUUAAGUGAUUCCAAAAGUCCAUCCGCAUGGAGUUUCUUCAUGCGCUUUACACCAAUAUGACCUAAAUGGCAGUGCCACAAGUAUGUUGCAUUAUCAUUAUCAACUUUGUAUCUUUUGGCAUCAAUAUUAUGAAUAUGUGUCUCACUACGAUCGAGAUUCAAUAAACCAUUUACAUUGGGUGUAUGACCAUAGAAGGUUUUAUUCGUGCAAACAGAACAACAAUUAUUCUCUCACUUAAAUAAAUAACCAUAUUUGCAAUAAACACGAUCUAAUCAUGUCCAUGCUCAACGCACACACCAAAUAACAUUUAUUUAGGCUCAACACUAACCCCGAAGGUAGAGGGAGUGUGUGAUGGUGAUCAUAUCAAUCUUGGAAACACUUACAACACUCAUCGUCACCUUGCCCUUAACUAGUCUUCAUUUAUUCUGCAACACCUGUUCCGAGUUUCUAAUCUUAGCAACUGAACCGGUAACAAAUACCCAGGGGCUACUACGAGUACCAGUAAGGUACACAUCAAUAACAUGUAUACCAAAUAUACCUUUGUUUACUUUGCCGUCCCUCUUAUCUGCUAAGUAUUUGGGGCACUUCCGCUUCCAGUGACCAUUUCCUUUGCAGUAGAAGCAGUUAGUCUUAGGCUUGGGUCUACCUUUGGGCUUCUUCCCAGGAGCGGCAACUUGCUUGCCAUUCUUCUUGAAGUUCCAUUUCUUUCCCUUGCCAUUUUUCUUGAAACUAGUGGUCUUAUUAAACAUCAACACUUGAUGCUCUUUCUUGAUUUCUACCUCCGCUGAUUCCAGUAUCGCGAAGAGCUUGGAAAUCAUUUUAGUCAUUCCUUGCAUAUUAUAGUUCAUCACGAAGCUCUAGUAGCUUGGUGAUAGUGAUUGGAGAACUUUGUCAAUCACUAUCUUAUCUAGAAUAUUAACUCCCACUUGAUUCAAGCGAUUGUAGUACCUAGACAUUCUGAGCGCAUGCUCACUGGCUGAGCUAUUCUCCUCCAUCUUGUAGGCAGAGUACUAGUCAGAGGUCCCAUGCCUCUCAACAUGGGCAUGAGCCUGAAAUACCAGUUUCAGCUCUUGGAACAUCUCGUAUGUUCCAUGGCGUUCAAAAUGUCUUUGGAGCCCCGAUACGUCUUUCGAGCCCCGAUUCUAAGCCAUAAAGCAUGGCACACUAAACUAUCUAAUUGUCAUCAUGUCGAGCUUGUCAAACCAUCAUAAUGUCUACAUCAGGUCCUGCAACAGGUCUAUCACCUAGCAGUGCAUCAAGGACAUAAUUCUUCUAUACAGCAAUGAGGAUAAUCCUCAAAUCACGGACCCAGUCCGCGUUAUUGCUACCAUCAUCUUUCAACUUAGUUUUUCUCUAGGAACACAUUAAAAUUUAAGGGAAUGGUAGCACGGGCCAUUGAUCUACAACAUAGAUAUGCAAAAGCUAUUAAGACUAAGUUCAUGAUAAAUUAAGUUCAAUUAAUCAAAAUACUAAUGAACUCCCACUUAAAUUAACCCCCCUCAAGUUAUCUAAGUGAUACAUGAUCCAAAUCAACUAACCCAUGUUUGAUCAUCACAUGAGAUGGGGUAGUCAUCAAUGGUGAACAUCUCUGUGUUGAUCAUAUUUACUAUAUGUCUCAUGUUCGACCUUUCGGUCUCCAGUGUUCCGAGACCAUGUCUGUACAUGCUAGGCUUGUCAAGUUUAACCCAAGUAUUCUGCGUGCGCAAAACAGUCUUAAACCCGUUGUAUGUGAACGUAGAGUCUAUCACACCCGAUCAUCACGAGGUGCCUCGAAACGAUGAACUUUGGCAAUGGUGCAUACUCAGGGACAACACUUUUAUCUUGAAAUUUAGUGAAGGGAUCAUCUUAUAAUGCUACCGCCGCUCUAAGCAAAAUAAGAUGCAUAAAGGAUAAACAUCACAUGUAAUCAAAAUAUGUGACAUGAUAUGGCCAUCAUCAUCUUGUGCUUUUGAUCUCCAUCUCCAAAGCAUCAUCAUGAUCUCCAUCGUCACUGGCUCAACACCUUGAUCUCCAUCGUUGCGUUGGGUUCAUCUCACCAACUAUUGCUUCUACAACUAUUGCUAACACAUAGCGAUAAAGUAACACAAUUACAUGGCACUUGCAUUUUGUACAAUAAUUAAGAGACAACCCUAAGGCUCCUGCCAGUUGUCGAUAUUACAAAACAUGAUCAUCUCAUACAACAACGUAUAUCACAUCAUGUCUUGACUAUAUCACAUCACAACAUGCCCUGCAAAAACAAGUUAGUCGUCCUCUACUUUGUUGUUGUAAGUGUUACGUGGCUGCUACGGGCUUCUAGCAAGAACCAUUCUUAACUUCGCAAAAACCACAACGGUGAUUAUCAAGUUUGUUGUUUUAACCUUCUUCAAGGACCGGCCGUAGUCAAAUUCGAUUCAACUAAAGUAGGAGAAACAGACACAUGCCAGCCACCUUUAUGCAAAACAAGUUGUAUGUCAGUCGGUAGAAGCGGUCUCAUGUGCGUGGACAUGUAAGGUUGGUCCGUGUUACUUCAUCCCACAAUACCGAAUCAAAAUAAGACGUUGGUGGUAAGCAGUAUGACUAUCACCGCCCACAGCUCCUUUGUGUUCUACUCGUGCAUAUCAUGUACGCAUAGACCUGGCUCGGAUGCCACUAUUGGGAAACGUUGCAUAGAAAACAAAAAAAAAUUCUAUGCACACGCAAGAUCUAUCCAUGGAGAUGCAUAGCUACAAGAGGGGAGAGUGUGUCUAUGUACCCUCGUAGAUAGUAAGCGGAAGCGUUUAUUAACGCGGAUGAUGUAGUCAAACUUUUUCGCGAUCCAACCGAUCAAGUACCGAACUUACGUCACCUCCGUGUUCAGCACACAUUCAACUCGGUGACGUCCUCGCCUUCUUGAUCCAGCAAGAUGGCCGAAGUAGUAGAUGAGUUCCGGCAAGACGAUGGCGUGGUGACAGUGGUGAUGAUGCUAUCUCCAUGGGGCUUCACCUAAGCACUCCGAAAACUGUGGAGAGGGGCGCCGCAUACGGCUAAGAGAUUGUCGUGGGCUAUAGGUGGGGGGGGGGAGAGGGGAGGCAGCCAUGAGGCGCCCCCAAGGAGGCCGAAUCCUCCUUGGGAUCCUGCCCUAUCCACUCCUCCCAUCCUUAUUUGUGCAUGGGAGGAAGGCAGGGGGAGGUGCCCCCAUUCCUUUCUCUCAUGAGGAGGGAAAGGCAGGAGGGGCCAACCCUCUCCCUUUCCUUCCCCUAGGGCCGGCAGGCAGGGAGAGGGCACGCCAACCCCUUUGCGGGCUGGUGUGUGCCUCCCCUUGGCCCAUUAGGCCCAUAUAUAGACCUCCCAGGGCCUCCCGGAACCCCUUCCGGUGAUCCGAUGGUUACUCGGUGCAACCCGAAACCUUUCUCGUGUACAAAUAGCAUCGUCCUAUAUAUUAAUCUUUACCUCCGGACCAUUCCACAGCUCCUCGUCAUGUCCGUGAUCUCAUCCGAGACUCCGAACAACAUUCGGUCACCAAAUCACACAACUCAUAUAAUACUAUAUCGUCAACGAACGUUAAGCGUGCGGACCCUACGGGUUCGAGAACUAUGUAGACAUGACCGAGACACCUCUCUGGUCAAUAACCAAUAGCAUAACCUGGAUACCCAUAUUGGUUCCUACAUAUUCUACGAAGAUCUUUAUCGGUCGAACCUUAUGACAACAUACAUAAUUCUCUUUGUCUAUCGGUAUGUUAAUUACCUGCUCAAGAUUCGAUCGUCGGUAUCUUCAUACCUAGUUCAAUAUUGUUACUGGCAAGUCUAUUUACUCGUUCCGUAACACAUCAUCUUGUAACUAACUCCUUAGUCACUUUGCUUGCAAGCUUCUUGUGAUGUGUAUUAGCGAGAGGGCCCAGAGAUACCUCUCCGAUACUCGGAGUGACAAAUCCUAAUCUCGAUCCAUGCCAACUCAACAGACACCUUUGGAGAUACCUGUAGAGCAUAUUUAUGAUCACCCAGUAACGUUGUGACAUUUGAUAGCUCACAAGGUAUUCCUCCGAUAUUCGGGAGUUGCAUGAUCUCAUAGUCGAAGGAAUAUGUAUUUGACAUUAAGAAAGCAAUAGCAAUAAACUGAACGAUCAUAUGCUAAGCUAAUAGAUGGGUCUUGUCCAUCACACCAUUCUACUAAUGAUGUGAACCCGUUAUCAAAUGACAACUCAUGUCUAUGGUUAGGAAAAUUUAACCAUCUUUGAUCAACGAGCUAGUCUAGUGGAGGCUCACUAGGGACACGGUAUUUGUUUAUGUAUCCACACAUGUAUUUAAGUUUCCGGUCAAUACAAUUCUAGCAUGAAUAAUAAACCUUUAUCAUGAUUAAGGAAAUAUAAUAAUAACCAUUUUAUUAUUGCCUCUAGGUCAUAUUUCCAUCAAGACCUUCUUCUUGACUUCAUCCUCAGGCAAACCCGCAAGCUUAAAUAAUCCACAAACUUCAUCCACAUAGAUUAGAUGCAUAUCAGGAUGUAGUGUUCCAUCUCCUACAUAAUGAUUAGCUAGCAAUUUCUCUAUCAUACCCAAAGGAAUUUCAUAAUAAAUAUUUUCAGUAGGUGCAGCAGGUUGAGGAGCAACUCUUUGCUCUUCCGUUUGAGGUGAAGAUACCCCGAACAAGCCCCUCAAAGGACGAUUUUCCAUAGUGACAAGUGACAGUAAAUUUUGGCACGUAGUAUAAAUGUUUCCUUACCAAAUUCCACUUACCAAAGGCGCUUCACUCCCUGACAACGGUGCCAGAAAAGAUUCUUGAUGACCCAUGAGUAUGGGGGAUCAAUCUUAGUCCUUUCGAUAAGUAAGGAUGUCGAACCCAACACGGAGCAGAAGGAAAUGACAAGCGGUUUUCAGCAAGGUAUUUUCUGCAGGCACUAAAAUUAUCAAUAAUAGAUAGUUUUGUGAUAAGAUAACUCGUAACGAGUAACAAGUAACAAGUGUAACAAAGGUGCAGAAAUGUGGCCCAAUCCUGGACGAACUCUUAUAUAAAGUAAAGUGCUCCUGAAGACACAUGUGAAUUACUGUCAAGUUAGUUUUCAUCAUGCUCAUAUAAUCUGCGUCCGUUACUUUUAUAAUUUGAUAUGUGGGUGGACCGAUGCUUGGGUGUUGUCCUUACUUGGACAAGCCUCCCACUUAUGAUUAACCCCUCUCGCAAGCAUCCACUGAAGGAAAUAUGCCCUAGAGGCAAUAAUAAAGUUGUUAUUUAUAUUUCUGUAUAUCAUGAUAAAUGUUUAUUAUUCAUGCUAGAAUUGUAUUAACCGGAAACUUGAUACAUGUGUGAAUACAUAGACAAAACAAAGUGUCCCUAGUAUGCCUCUACUUGACUAGCUCGUUAAUCAAAGAUGGUUAAGUUUCCUGACCAUAGACAUGAGUUGUCAUUUGAUGAACGGGAUCACAUCAUUAGGAGAAUGAUGUGAUGGACAACACCCAUUCGUUAGCUUAGCAUAAUGAUCCUUAAGUUUUAUGGCAAUUGUUUUCUUCAUGACUUAUACAUAUUCCUCUGACUAUGAGAUUAUGCAACUCCCGAAUACCGGAGGAACACCUUGUGUGCUAUCAAACGUCACAACGCAACUAGGUGAUUAUAAAGAUGCUCUACAGGUGUCUCCGAAGGUGUUUGUUGGGUUGGCAUAGAUCAAGAUUAGGAUUUGUCACUCCGAGUAUCAGAGAGGUAUCUCCGGGCCCUCUUGGUAAUGCACAUCACUAUAAGCCUUGCAAGCAAUGUGACUAAUGAGUUAGUUACGGGAUGAUGCAUUACAGAACGAGUAAAGAGACUUGCCGAUAACAAGAUUGAACUAGGUAUGAGGAUACUGACGGUCGAAUCUCGAGCAAGUAACAUACCGAUGACAAAGGGAAUAACGUAUGUUGUUAUUGCGGUUUGACCGAUAAAGAUAUUCAUAGAAUAUGUAGGAACCAAGAUGAGCAUCCAGGUUCCGCUAUUGGUUAUUGACCGGAGAUGUGUCUCGGUCAUGUACAUAGUUCUCGAACCCGUAGGGUCCGCACACUUAACGUUCGAUGACGAUUUGUAUUAUGAGUUAUGUGUUUUGGUGACCGAAGUUUGUUCGAAGUCCCGGAUGAGAUCACUGACAUGAUGAGGAGUCUCGAAAUGGUCAAGAGGUAAAGAUUGAUAUAUUGAACGAUGAUAUUCGGACACCGAAAUGGUUUCAAAAUGGUUCAGGUAUAUUUCAGAGUACCGAGGGGUUACCAGAACCCCCCGGGGAAGUAUUGGGCCUACAUGGGCCUUAGUGGAGAGAGAGGGGAGCCCGCAAGGGGUGGCCGCACGUCCCUUUCCAAGGGAGUCUGAAUAGGACAAGGAGGAGGGGCACCCCCCUUUCCCUCUCCCUCUCUUUCCUUUUCCCCUCCAAUGAGAAAGGAAAAGGGGGAUCCUACUAGGAGUGGAGUCCUAGUAGGACUUCCCCCAUGGCGCACCCCCUUGGUGGCCGGCCUCCUCCUCCCCUCCUUUAUAUACGGGGGCAGGGGGCAUCCCAUAACACAUCAAUUGUUCUCUUAGCCGUGUGCGGUGCCGCCCUCCACAGUUUACUCCUCCGGUCAUAGCGUCGUAGUGCUUAGGCAAAGCCCUACGCGGAUCACUUCACCAUCACCGUCACCACGCCGUCGUGCUGACGGAAAUAUCCCUCGACCCUCUGCUGGAUCAAGAGUUCAAGGGACGUCAUCGAGCUGAAUGUGUGCUGAACUCAGAGGUGCUGUACGUUUGGCACUAGAUCGGUUGGAUCGUGAAGAUGUUUGACUACAUCAACCGCAUUAACCUAACGCUUCCGCUUUCAGUCUACGAGGGUACGUGGACACACUCUCCCCCUCUCGUUGCUAUGCAUCUCUGAUACGUCUCCAAGGUAUCUACUUUUCCUAACGCUUUUCCUAUUAUUUUGGACUCUAAUUUGCAUGAUUUGAAUGAAACUAACCCCGGACUGACGCUGUUUUGAGCAGAACUACCAUGGUGUUGUUUUUGUGCAGAAAUAAAAGUUCUUGGAAUCGAAAAAAAAUUUGCAAGGAUUUUUUAUAUCAAUAAUAAGAAUUUCUGGAGCCAAGACCCACCAGAGGGGGGAACCUAGGUGAGCACAACCCACCAGGGCGCGCCCCUCUCCUGGCGCGCCCAGGUGGGUUGUUCCCACCUCGUGGCCCCACAAACCCUGAAACCGACGCUAUGAAAUCCUAUUUUUCCAGAAAAAAUCAGAGAGAAAGAAUUAUCGCGAUCCAUUUUCUUCACCGGGAGGCUAGAUCUGGAGUCCGUUUGGGGCUCUGGAGAGGGGGAUCUUCGUUCUUCGUCAUCACCAACCCUUCUCCAUCGCCAAUUCCAUGAUGCUCCCCACCGGGAGUGAGGAAUUCCUUCGUAGGCUUGCUGGUCGGUGAGGAGUUGGAUGAGAUUCAUCAUGUAAUCGAGUUAGUUUUGUUAGGGCUUGAUCGCUAGUAUCCACUAUGUUCUAAGGUUGAUGUUGCUAUGACUUUGCUAUGCUUAAUGCUUGUCACGUUGGGCCCGGGUGCCAUGAUUUUAGAUCUGAACCAUUUAUGUUAUCACCAUUAUAUCCAUGUUCUAGAUCCGAUCUUGCAAGUUAUAGUCACCUACUACGUGUUAUGAUCCGGCAACCCCACAGUGACAAUAGCCGGGACCACUCCUAGUGAUGACCGUAGUUUGAGGAGUUCAUGUAUUCACCACGUGUUAAUGCUUUGUUCCGGUUCUCUAUUAAAAGGAGGCCUUAAUAUCCCUUAGUUUCCAAUAUGGACCCCGCUGCCAUGAGAGGGUAGGAAAAAAGAUGUCAUGCAAGUUCUUUCCAUAAGCACGUAUGACUAUUUACUGAAUACAUGCCUACAUUAUAUUGAUGAACUGGAGCUAGUGCCAUAUCACCCUAGGUUAUAACUGUCUCAUGAUGAAUAUCAUCCAACAAGUCACCAAUCCAAUGCCUACGCAUUUAUCCUAUAUUGUUCUUGCUAAGUUACUACUGCUAUCACUGUUACCGUUACUAUUGCUACUAUCACCAUUAUCGAAACUAUCAUAUUACUUUGCUACUGAUCACGUUGCUGCUGAUAAUUAAUCUCCAGGUGUGGUUGAAUUGACAACUCAGCUGCUAAUACCUUCAAAUAUUCUUUGGCUCGCCUUGUGUCAAAUCUAUAAAUUUGGGUCGAAUACUCUACCCUCGAAAACUGUUGCGAUCCCCUAUACUUGUGGGUUAUCAAGAACUUUUUAUGGCGCCGUUGCCGAGGAGCAUAUCUAUAUUUGUUGAGUCACUUGGGAUUAUUAUCAUAUUAUCACUAUGAAGAAUCUGAAGGAUGCUAAGACUAAGAUAUUUCCCUCAAAGACGAGGGGAGGUAAGGAACUGCCAUCCAGUUCUGCUUUAGAUUCACCUUUUGUUAUAAGUAAACUUGCAACACCACCACAUGCUAUUAAUUCUGAUAUAUUGCAAGUUACUGAUGAUGCUACUUCUCCUAUGGAUAAUUCUUAUGAUGAUGCUAGUACCUUGCUUAAUGCUGAUGUGUCACUUGGUGACUUUCUUGAUAAACAAAUUGCUAGAUUUAUACAACAUGAUGUUGUUGAAUCUGAUGAUGAGCUUGAAACUGAAACUCCUGAAACACCUACUAGAACUAGCCCUCCUAGAUAUGAAUUGCCUAAGGUACCGGAAGGUUAUGUUAUGAGUGAAGAAACAACUAGAGAUAUUCUUGCUUGUAGAGAUAGAGAUGAUCUAGAGAAAUUUUUAUGCAAGUAUGAAGAAAAAUCUCUGAAUGCUAGAAUGAAAUGUGAUCCUAAGUUUGCUACUUCACCUAUCUUUAUUGAUGAUAAGGAUUAUGAAUUCUCUGUCGACCCAGAGUUAAUUACUUUGGUUGAAUCUGAUUCUUUCCAUGGUUAUGAAACUGUUGUGGCACAUCUUACUAAGUUGAAUGACAUAGCCACCCUUUUUACUCAUGAUGAGAAAACUCGCUAUUACUUUAUUCUCAAAUUAUUUCAGUUCUCAUUAAAGGGUGAUGCUGAAGCUUGGUACAAUACUCUUGCUCCUGGUUGUGUGCGUAGUCCCCACGAUAUGAUUUAUUACUUCUCUGAAAAAUAUUUCCCUGCCCAUAAGAAACAAGCUACCUUGCAGGAUAUAUUUAACUUUGUUCAAAUUAAAGAAGAGAGUAUCCCACAUGUUUGGGGGAGGCUUUGCCAGUUACUUAAUGCUUUGCCUGAUCAUCCUCUUAAGAAAUAUGAAAUACUUGAUAUCUUCUAUAAUGGACUAACCGAUGCUUCUAGGGACUUCCUAGAUAAUUGUGUUGGUUGUGUUUUCAGGGAACGAACUAUUGGACAAGCUGAAGAAUUAUUGAAUAACAUAUUGAAAAAUUAUGAUGAUUGGACUCUUCCUGAACCACCGCCUAAACCCACUCCAAAGAAGAGGGGUAUAUUAUAUUUCAGUCUUGAAGAUAUGCAAGAGGCAAAGAAAUCUAUGAAGGAAAGAGGUAUUAAAGCUGAGAUGUUAAAAAUUUACCUCCUAUUGAAGAAAUACAUGGGCUUAAUACACCACCACUGCCUAAGGUGGUAGAGGUAAAUUCUCUUAUGAAGUUCAGUGAUAAUGAUAAUCCUCACAAUAUGCAUCCUAGCCAAUGCCUUUACGAGUUUGAAAAUUAUAUUAGAAAACAAGAUCACUUCAAUGCAAAUGUUAUGAAACAAUUGAAAUACAAUUAUGAUAUGAUUGCUCACUUGAGUGACUUGUUAUUUAGAAUAUCAAAUGAUGUUAGAGGUGUUGGAAAGCAUGCUUCUAUGGUUCAAACUCAGUUAGAACAAGUUGCUAAAUCUCAAAGAGAAUUGCUUGAUGAAAUGAAUAAUACUAUGCAUGACUUUGCUGUUAGAGUUGCAACUAGAGGAGGUAAAAUGACUCAGGAACCACUUUAUCCUGAGGGACACCCAAAAAGAAUUGAACAAGAUUCACCAAAAUCUAACACUAGUGCACCCAGUCCUUCUAGAAAGAAAACGAAAAAGAAAAAUGAUAGGACUUUGCAUGCCUCUAGUGAACCUGAAAUAGAGAAACCUCAUGAUAAUGAUAAUGAAACUUCUAUCUCUGAUGCUAAAACCCAGUCUGGUAAUGAACACUCACCUAGUGAUAAUGAAAAAGAUAAUGUUGAUGUUCAUGAAGAUACCCAACCAAAUAAUAAAGAACCAGAAAAUGAUGUUGAGAUAGAACCACCUGUUGAUCUUGAUAACCCACAACCUAAGAAUAAAAGGUAUGAUAAAAGAGACUUCAUUGCUAGAAAACACGAUAAAGAAAGAGAACCGUGGGUUCAAAAACCUAUGCCUUUUCCACCUAAGUCAACUAAAAAGAAUGAUGAUGAAGAAUUUGAACACUUUGUUGAAACACUGAGGCCAGUCUUUUUGCGUACUCGCUUGACCGAUAUCUUGAAAGUGCCUCCCUAUGCAAAGUAUAUGAAAGACAUCAUCACUAAUAAAUGGAAAAUACCGAAAGCUGAAAUCUCGACUAUGCUUGAUAAUUAUACUUUUAAAGAUGGAGUACCUAAAAAACUUGGAGAUCAGGGAAUUCCAACUAUACCUUGCUCCAUCAAAAAGAAUUAUGUGAAAACUGCUUUGUGUGAUUUAGGAGCUGGUGUUAGUGUUAUGCCUUUCUCUUUGUAUAAAAGACUUGAUUUGAAUAAACUCACACCUACUGAAAUAUCUUUGCAAAUGGCUGAUAAAUCAACUGCCAUACCUAUCAGUAUCUGUGAGGAUGUGCCUGUUGUUGUUGCUAAUGCUACUAUUUUGACUGACUUUGUUAUACUUGAGAUGCCCGAGGACGACAACAUGUAGAUUAUCCUUGGUAGACCCUUCUUGAAUACUGUAGGGGCUGUUAUUGAUUGCAAUAAAAGCAAGGUCACUUUUCAUAUCAAUGGUAAUGAGCAUAUGGUGCACUUUCCGAAGAAACAAUGCCAAGUGAAUGGUAUUGAUGUUAUUGAAAAAUCUCCGACAAUCACUAUUGGAAGUUUUCAAAUACCUCUACCUAUUGUCAAAAGGAAAUAUUAAACGCUUAUUGUUGGGGACAUUCAUAUCCCCAUUGAGGUAACUUAGUGAUUUACGAAAGUUCUUCGGUUUCAUGCUAAUCGAAAGUGGUUGUUAAUAAGACUUGAUCAACCUUAUUAAUGAAUCAUUUUUGAGCGGUAUGACGUUGAUGAAUUUAGUAAGCACUACCUUCUUCCCCUAAUUUUUAUUUUCUGUUUUCUUAGUUAAAUAAAAUAAAAUGCCUUGUUCUAUCUGUUUUCUGAAUUUCCCGUGCAAUAAAAAAUGACCAAAAAAUAAAAGUCCUCAGAAUGCCCUGAAAAUUUAAUACGAUUUUUUCUGAAUAUUUAAGAUUUUUCUAGUGCAAAUAACAUCAAAGGGACGUGCACCAGGUGGGCACAACCCACCUGGGCUCGCCAGGACCCCCAGGCAUGCCCUGGUGGGUUAUGGUCCCCACGUGGGCCCCUCACUUAUCUCUUCAUACCAUAUCAUCACCUACCUCCAGAAAAAAAUCUCCCUUGCUCCCUCUCCCGUGUUCUUGCUCUCAAGCCCGUGGAUUUCGAUCUGUUUGCUCGAAGCUCCAUUUUUGAAACUGUUUCAGGGGAUUGUUGCUUGGUACGUGACUCCACGGUUUGUCCAAUUAGUUUUUGUUUUAGUAGUUUAUAUUUUGAAUAAUUAGCUACUCUUGGUCCUGCUGUAGAUGUGCUUGCAUGUUGAAUUCUUAGUGUUCUAAGUAGUUUGAAUGCUUGCUAUGGCCUCUAUGUAUCCCUAUGAGUAGUUGCUAUCAAUCUUGUAAAGUUCUGUUGAUAAAUUUUUGUCACCCAAAAAUUUUCAGAAAAUUGUACGCGAACAUGAUGAACCUAUUUGGAAGGAACUCUUCGAGGAGGAGAUCCUCGGGGGCAUCUUCUAGUGACAGCUCCGCUCGCCGGUCAUAUGUUAAACCAAGUGAAAGUUCUACUCGAGAUGCCGCCACCAAAACAUGCUUAUGGCCUUGCAAUGAGUAUAUGAUGUGUGUGGGUAUUAAAGAAGAAUUUGAGCAAUAUGUUCACAAUGUUGGUCUCGGUCCUUACAUUUCUGAUAAGUGUGAACAACGCCACCUUCUCACUGAAUCAUUUGUCAAAGGAUUUAAAUUCCUUCCCCGUGAGUCUAGGGUGUAGUUUAUGCUUUAUGAUAACCCAUAUACCAUAUCACUAGAGAAUUUUGCUUACCACUGCAAACUCCCGUUCUGGGGUUCGCUUGAUGAACCACCAAGGGCUGAGUAUCAAACAUUCUUGACUAGUCUUUGCUAUGGUGAGACGAGGGGAGUGACACAAGGUAGAAUAAAGAGCAUUCAUUUUCCCGCAAUUCAGUACUUUGCAUUAUUUAAUGGGAAAUGUAUAGUAGGCAAGCAAGACUAUAGUACACUUUGUGCUCCAGACUGCUUUCACCGGUGAAAGGAAUUAUAACCUUGGAGCGAUUGUUGCACGCAGACUUCAGCACAAUGCUAACAGUGGCUAUUUCUAUGGUGGAAUAUAUGCCAGGCGUUUAGCUCGAGGGUUGGGUGUUGCACCUUUUGAAGGAAAUAUGCCCUAGAGGCAAUAAUAAAGUUGUUAUUUAUAUUUCCUUAUAUCAUGAUAAAUGUUUAUUAUUCAUGCUAGAAUAGCAUUAACCGGAAACUUAGUACAUGUGUGCAUACAUAGACAAACAGAGUGUCCCUAGUAUGCCUCUACUUGACUAGCUCGUUAAUCAAAGAUGGUUAAGUUUCCUAGCCAUAGACAUGCGUUGUCAUUUGAUGAACGGGGUCACAUCAUUAGAGAAUGAUGUGAUGGACAAGAGCCAUCAGUUAGCUUAGCAUAAUGAUCGUUUAGUUUUUCUGCUAUUGCUUUCUUCAUGACUUAUACAUGUUCCUCAGACUAUGAGAUUAUGCAACUCCCGAAUACCUGAGGAACACCUUGUGUGCUAUAAAAUGUCACAAUGUAACUAGGUGAUUAUAAAGAUACUCUACAGGUGAAUCCGAUGGUGUUUGUUGAGUUGGCAUAGAUCAAGAUUAGGAUUUGUCACUCCGUGUAUCAAAGAGGUAUCUAUGGGCCCUCUCGGUAAUGCACAUCACUAUGAGCCUUGCAAGCAAUGUGUCUAAUGAGUUAGCCACGGGAUGAUGCAUUACAGAACGAGUAAAGAGAAUUGCCGGUGACGAGAUUGAACUAGGCAUGAUGAUACCGACGAUCGAAUCUCAGGCAAGUAACAUACUGAUGACAAAGGGAACAACAUAUGUUGUUAUGCGGUUUGACCGAUAAAUAUCUUCGUAGAAUAUGUAGGAGCCAAUAUGAGCAUCUAGGUUCCGCUGUUGGUUAUUGACCGGAGAUGUGUUUCGGUCAUGUCUACAUAGUUCUCGAACCCGUACGGUCCGCACGCUUAACGUUCAAUGACGAUUUGUAUUAUGAGUUUCGUGUUUUGAUGAACCAAAGUUUGUUCGGAGUCCUGGAUGAGAUCACGGACAUGAUGAGGAGUCUUGAAAUGGUCGAGACAUAAAGAUUGAUAUAUUGGAAGGUUAUGUUUGGACAGCGGAAUGGUUUCGGAUAGGUUCGGGCAUUNNNNNNNNNNNNNNNNNNNNNNNNNNNNNNNNNNNNNNNNNNNNNNNNNNNNNNNNNNNNNNNNNNNNNNNNNNNNNNNNNNNNNNNNNNNNNNNNNNNNNNNNNNNNNNNNNNNNNNNNNNNNNNNNNNNNNNNNNNNNNNNNNNNNNNNNNNNNNNNNNNNNNNNNNNNNNNNNNNNNNNNNNNNNNNNNNNNNNNNNNNNNNNNNNNNNNNNNNNNNNNNNNNNNNNNNNNNNNNNNNNNNNNNNNNNNNNNNNNNNNNNNNNNNNNNNNNNNNNNNNNNNNNNNNNNNNNNNNNNNNNNNNNNNNNNNNNNNNNNNNNNNNNNNNNNNNNNNNNNNNNNNNUGCCCAGUCCGAAUUGGACAAGGGGAGGGGGUGGCGUCCCCCUCCUUCCUUCUCUUCUCUCCUCUUUCCCUUCUUCUCCUACUUAGACUAGGAAAUGGGGGGGGGGACCGAAUCCUACUUGGACUAGGAGUCCAAGUAGGACUCCCCCCAUGGUGCGCCCCCUCCUAGGGUCCGCCUCCUCUCCUCCCCCCUUUAUAUACGUGGGGAGGGGGAAUCCCAAAGACACACAAGUUGAUCUUUUAGCCCUGUGCAGUGCCCCCCUCCACAGUUACACACCUCGGUCAUAUUGUUGUAGUGCUUAGGCGAAGCCCUGCGUCGGUAACUUCAUCAUCACCAUCACCAUGCUGUCGUGCUAAAGGAACUCUCCCUUGGACUCAACUGGAUCAAGAUCUCGAGGGAUGUCAUCGAGCUGAACGUGUGCUGAUCGCGGAGGUGUUGUGCAUUCGGUACUUGGAUCAGUUGGAUCGCGAAGAUGUUCUACUACAUCAACCACGUUACUAAAUGCUUACGCUUUCGGUCUACGAGGGUAUGUAUACACACUCUCCCCUCUCGUUGCUAUGCAUCUUCUAGAUAGAUCUUGCAUGAUCGUAGGUAAAAUUUUGAAAUACUGCAUUCCCCAACAGUGGCAUCCGAGCCAGGUCUAUGUGUAGAUGUUAUAUGCACGAGUAGAACACAAUGAGUUGUGGGCGAUAAUAGUCAUACUACUUACCAACAUGUCUUACUUUGAUUCAGCGGUAUUGUUGGAUGAAGCGGCCCAGACCGACAUUACAUGACCGCAUUCAUGAGACUGGUUCUACCGACGUGCUUCGCACACAGGUGGCUAGUGGGUGUCUGUUUCUCCAACUUUAGUUGAAUCAAGUUUGACUACGCCCAGUCCUUGCUGAAGGUUAAAAUAGCACACUUGACGAAAAAUCGUUGUAGUUUUGAUGCGUAGGUAAGAACGGUUCUUGAUAGAAGCCCGUAGAAGCCACAUAAAACUUGUAACAACAAAGUAGAGGACGUCUAACUUGUUUUUGCAGGGCUUGUUGUGAUGUGAUAUGGUCAAGACGUGAUGAUAUAUAAAUUGUUGUAUGAGAUGAUCAUGUUUUGUAACAGUUAUCGACAACUGGCCGAAGCCAUAUGGUUGUCGCUUUAUUGUAUGAAAUGCAAUCGCCAUGCAAUUGCUUUACUUUAUCACUAAGCGGAAGCGGUAGUCGUAGAAGCAAUAGUUGGCGAGAUGACAACGAUGCUACGAUGGAGAUCAAGGUGUCAAGCCGGUGACGAUGGUGAUCAUGACGGUGCUUUGGAUAUGGAGAUCAAAGGCACAAGAUGAUGAUGGACAUAUCAUAUCACUUAUUUUGAUUGCAUUUGAUGUUUAUCUUUUAUGCAUCUUAUUUUGCUUAGUACGGCAGUAGCAUUACAAGAUGAUCUCUCACUAAAUUUCAAGGUACAAGUGUUAUCCCUGAGUAUGCACUGUUGCUACAGUUCGUCGUGCCGAGACACCACGUGAUGAUCGGGUGUGAUAAGCUCUACGUUCACAUACAACGGGUGCAAGCCAGUUUUGCACAAGUAGAAUACUCAUGUAAAACUUGACGAGCCUAGCAUAUGCAUAUAUGGCCUCGGAACACUGAGACCGAAAGGUCGAGCGAGAAUCAUAUAGUAGAUACGAUCAACAUAAUGAUGUUCACCAUUGAAAACUACUCCAUCUCACGUGAUGAUCGGACAUGGUUUAGUUGAUGUGGAUCAUGUGAUCAUUUAGAUGACUAGAGAGAUGUCUAUCUAAGUGGGAGUUCUUAAGUAAUACGAUUAAUUGAACUUUAAUUUAUCAUGAACUUAGUACCUGAUAGUAUUUUGCAUGUCUAUGUUGUUGUAGAUAAAUGGCCCGUGCUACUGUUCCUUUGAAUUUUAAUGCGUUCGUAGAGAAAGCUACGUUGAAAGAUGAUGGUAGCAACUACACAGACUGGGUCCUUAACUUGAGGGUUAUCCUCAUUGCUGCACAGAAGAAUUACGUCCUGGAAGUACCGCUAGGUGCAAAGCCCAUUGCAGGAGCAACACCGGAUGUUAUGAACGUCUGGCAGAUCAAAGCUGAUGACUACUCGAUAGUUUAGUGUGCCAUGCUUUACGGCUUAGAAUCAGGACUUCAACGACGUUUUGAACGUCAUGGAGCAUAUGAGAUGUUCUAGGAGUUGAAGUUAAUAUUUCAAGCAAAUGCCCCAAUUGAGAGACAUGAAGUCUCCAAUAAGUUCUAUAGCUGCAAGAUGGAGGAGAAUAGUUAUGUCAGUGAACGUAUACUCAGAAUGUCUGGGUACCAGAACCACUUGACUCAACUAGGAGUUAAUCUUCCUGAUGAUAGUGUCAUUGACAGAGUUCUUCAAUCACUGCCACCAAGCUACAAAAGCUUCAUGAUGAACUAUAAUAUGCAAGGGAUGGAUAAGACAAUUCCCAAGCUCUUCGCAUUGCUAAAAGCUGCGGAGGUAGAAGUCAAGAAGGAGCAUCAAGUGUUGAUGGUCAACAAGACCACUAGAUUCAAGAAGAAGGGCAAAGGGAGAGGGGAACUUCAAGAAGAAGAGCAAGCAAGUUGCUUCUCAAGUGAAGAAACCAAAUUCUGGACCUAAGCCUGAGACUGAGUGCUUCUACUGCAAAUGGACUGAUCACUGGAAGCAGAACUGCCCCAAGUAUUUGGCGGAUAAGAAGGAUGGCAAAGUGAAAGGUAUAUUUGAUAUACAUGUUAUUGAUGUGUACCUUACUAAUGCUCGCAGUAGUGCCUGGGUAUUUGAUACUGGUUCUGUUGCUCAUAUUUGCUACUCAAAACAAGGGCUACAGAUUAAGCGAAGAUUGGCUAAGGACGUGGUGACGAUGCGCAUGGGAAAUGGUUCUGAAGUCGAUGUGAUCGCAGUUGGCAUGCUACCUCUACAUCUACCUUCGGGAUUAGUUUUAGACAUGAAUGCUUGUUACUUGGUGCCAGCGUUAAGCAUGAACAUUAUAUCUGGAUCUUGUUUGCUACGAGAUGGUUACUCAUUUAAAUUAGAGAAUAAUGGUUGUUCUAUUUAUAUGAGUAAUAUCUUUUAUGGUCAUGCACCCUUGAUGAGUGGUCUAUUUUUAUUGAAUCUCGAUAGUAGUGAUGCACAUAUUCAUAGUAUUGAAGCCAAAAGAUAUAAGUUUAAUAAUGAUAGUGCAACUUAUUUGUGGCACUGCCAUUUAGGUCAUAUUGGUGUAAAGCGCAUGAAGAAACUCCAUGCUGAUGGGAUUUUGGAAUCACUUGAUUAUGAAUCACUUGAUGCUUGCGAACCAUGCCUCAUGGGAAAGAUGACCAAGACUCCGUUCUCUGGAAGAAUAGAGCGAGCAACAGACUUAUUGGAAAUAAUACAUACUGAUGUAUGUGGUCCGAUGAGUAUUGAUGCUCGUGGCGGGUAUUGUUAUUUUCUGACCUUCAUAGAUGAUUUGAGCAGAUAUGGGUAUAUCUACUUGAUGAAACAUAAGUCUGAAACAUUUGAAAGGUUCAAAGAAUUUCAGAGUGAAGUGGAAAGUCAUCGUAAAAAGAAAAUUAAGUUUCUACGAUCUGAUCGUGGAGGUGAAUAUUUGAGUUAUGAGUUUGGUCUUCAUUUGAAGCAAUGCGGAAUAGUUUCGCAACUCACGCCACCUGGAACACCACAUCGUAAUGGUGUGUCCGAACAUCGUAACCGCACUUUAUUAGAUAUGGUGCGAUCUAUGAUGUCUCUUACUAAUUUACCGCUAUCAUUUUGGGGUUAUGCUUUAGAGACGGCUGCAUUCACAUUAAAUAGGAACCAUCAAAAUUCUUUGACACGACACCAUAUGAACUAUGGUUUGGCAAGAAACCCAAGUUGUCAUUUCUUAAAGUUUGGGGCUGCGAUGCUUAUGUGAAAAAGCUUCAACCUGAUAAGCUCGAACCCAAAUCGGAGAAAUGUGUCUUUAUAGGAUACCCAAAGGAGACUGUUGGGUACACCUUCUAUCACAGACCCGAAGGCAAGAUAUUCAUUGCUAAGAAUGGAUCCUUUCUAGAGAAGGAGUUUCUCUCGAAAGAAGUGAGCGGAAGGAAAGUAGAACUUGAUGAGGUAACCGUACCUUCUCCCUUAUUGGAAAGUAGUUCAUCACAGAAAUCAGUUCCAGUGAUUCCUACACCAAUUAGUGAGGAAGCUAAUGAUGAUGAUCAUGAAACUUCUGAUCAAGUUACUACCGAACCUCGUAGGUCAACCAAAGCAAGAUCCGCACCACAGUGGUACAGUAAUCCUGUUCUAGAGGUCAUGUUACUUGACCAUGAUGAACCUACAAACUAUGAGGAAGCGAUGAUGAGCCCAGAUUCCGCAAAAUGGCUUGAGGCCAUGAAAUAUGAGAUGGGAUCCAUGUAUGAGAACAAAGUGUGGACUUUGAUUGACUUGCCCGAUGAUCGGCAAGCCAUAGAGAAUAAAUGGAUCUUCAAGAAGAAGACUGAUGCUAACGGUAAUAUUACUAUCUACAAAGCUCAACUUGUUGCAAAAGGUUUUCGACAAGUUCAAGGAGUUGACUACGAUGAGACCUUCUCACCCGUAGCGAUGCUUAAGUCUGUCCGAAUCAUGUUAGCAAUUGCCGCAUUAUAUGAUUAUGAAAUUUGGCAAAUGGAUGUCAAAACUGCAUUCCUUAAUGGAUAUCUCAAAGAAGAGUUGUAUAUCAUGCAACCAGAAGAUUUUGUCUAUCCUAAAGGUCCUAACAAAGUGUGCAAGCUCCAGCGAUCCAUUCAUGGACUGGUGCAAGCCUCUCGGAGUUGGAAUAUAUGCUUUGAUAGUGUGAUCAAAGCAUAUGGUUUUAUAUAGACUUUUGGAGAAGCCUGUAUUUACAAGAAAGUGAGUGGGAGCACCGUAGCAUUUCUGAUAUUAUAUGUGGAUGACAUAUUGUUGAUCGGAAAUGAUACCGAAUUUCUGAAUAGCAUAAAAGGAUACUUGAAUAAGAAUUUUUCAAUGAAAGACCUUGGUGAAGCUGCUUAUAUAUUGGGCAUCAAGAUCUAUAGAUGUAGAUCAAGACACUUAAUUGGACUUUCACAAAGCACAUACCUUGAUAAAGUUUGGAAGAAGUUCAAAAUUGGUCAGUCAAAGAAAGGGUUCUUGCCUGUGUUACAAGGUGUGAAGUUGACUCAGACUCAAUGCCAGACCACUUCAGAAGAUAGAGAGAAAAUGAAAGUCAUUCCCUAUGCCUCAGCCAUAGGUUCUAUCACGUAUGCAAUGCUGCGUACCAGACCUAAUGUGUGCCUUGCUAUUAGUUUAGCAGGGAGGUACCAAAGUAAUCCAGGAGUGGAUCACUGGAUGAUGGUCAAAAACAUCCUGAAAUACCUAAAAAGGACUAAGGAUAUGUUUCUCGUUUAUGGAGGUGACAAAGAGCUCGUCGUAAACGGUUACGUCGAUGCAAGCUUUGACAUUGAUCCGGAUGACUCUAAGUCACAAACCAGAUACAUAUUUUUAUUGAAUGGUGGAGCUGUCAGUUAGUGCAGUUCUAAGCAGAGCGUCGUGGCGGGAUCUAUGUGUGAAGCGGAAUACAUAGCUACUUCGGAAGCAGCAAAUGAAGGAGUCUGGAUGAAGGAGUUCAUAUCUGAUCUAUGUGUAAUACCUAGUGCAUCGGGUCCAAUGAAAAUCUUUUGCGACAAUACUCUUGCAAUUGCCUUGGCAAAGGAAUCCAGAUUUCACAAGAGAACCAAGCACAUCAAGAGAUGCUUCAAUUCCAUCCGCGAUCAAGUCAAGGAGAGAUACAUAGAGAAUUGCAAGAUACAUAUGGAUCUGAAUGUUGUAGACCCAUUGACUAAGUCUCUCUCACGAGAAAACAUGAUCAACACCAAGACUCCAUGUGUGUUAGAAUCAUUACUAUGUAAUCUAGAUUAUUGACACUAGUGCAAGUGGGAGACUGAAGGAAAUAUGCCCUAGAGGCAAUAAUAAAGUUCUUAUUUAUAUUUCCUUAUAUCAUGAUAAAUGUUUAUUAUUCAUGCUCGAAUUGUAUUAACCGGAAACUUAGUACAUGUGUGAAUACAUAGACAAACAGAGUGUCCCUAGCAUGCCUCUACUUGACUAGCUCGUUAAUUAAAGAUGGUUAAGUUUCCUAGCCAUAGACAUGUGUUUUCAUUUGAUGAACGAGAUCACAUCAUUAGAGAAUUAUGUGAUGGAAAAGCCCCAUCAGUUAGCUUAGCAUAAUGAUUGUUUAGUUUUUCUGCUAUUGCUUUCUUCAUGACUUAUACAUGUUCCUCAGACUAUGAGAUUAUGCAACUCCCGAAUACCGUAGGAACACCUUGUGUGAUAUCAAGCGUCACAACGUAACUGGGUGAUUAUAAAGAUGCUCUACAGGUGACUCCGAUGGUGUUUGUUGAGUUGGCAUAGAUCAAGAUUAGGAUUUGUCACUCAGUGUAUCAGAGAGGUAUCUCUGGGCCCUCUCGGUAAUGCACAUCACUAUGAGCCUUGCAAGCAAUGUUUCUAAUGAGUUAGCCAUGGGAUGAUGCAUUAUAGAAUGAGUAAAGAGACUUGCCGGUGACGAUAUUGAACUAGGUAUGAUGAUACCGACGAUCGAAUCUUGGGCAAGUAACAUACCGAUGACAAAGGGAACAACGUAUGUUGUUAUACAGUUUGACGAUAAAGAUCUUCGUAGAAUAUGUAGGAGCCAAUAUGGGCAUCUAGGUUCCGCUUUUGGUUAUUGAUUGGAGAUGUGUCUCGGUCAUGUCUACAUAGUUCUCGAACCAGUAGGGUCUGCACGCUUAAUAUUCAAUGACGAUUUGUAUUAUGAGUUUUGUGUUUUGAUGAACCGAAGUUUGUUUGGAGUCCCAGAUGAGAUCAUGGACAUGACGAGGAGUCUCAAAAUGGUCGAGACAUAAAGAUUGAUAUAUUGUAAGGUUAUGUUUGGACACCAGAACGGUUUCGGAUAGGUUCGGGCAAUUUCCAGAGUACCGGGGGUUUACCGGAACCCCCUGGGGAUUGAUGGGCCACAAUGGGCCUUAGUGGAGAAGAGAGAGAGAGAGAGAGCCGGCCAGAGGUGGCGCCCCCCUUGCCUAGUCCGAAUUGGACAAGUGGAGAGGGCGGCGCCCCCCUCAUUCCUUCUCUUCUCUCCUCCUUCCCUUCUUCUCCUACUUGGACUAGGAAAGGGGGGGACCGAAUCCUACUUGGACUAGGAGUCCAAGUAGGACUCCCCCCAUGGUGCGCCCCCUCCUAGGGUCGGCCUCCUCUCCUCCCCCCUUUAUAUACAUGGGGAGGGGCACCCCAAAGACACACAAGUUGAUCUUUUAGCCGUGUGCGGUGCCCCCCUCCACAGUUACACACCUCGGUCAUAUCAUUGUAGUUCUUAGGCGAAGCCCUGCGUCGGUAACUUCAUCAUUACCGUCACUAUGCCGUCGUGCUGACGAAACUCUCUCUUGGCCUCAACUGGAUCAAGAGUUCGAGGGACAUCAUCGAGCUGAACGUGCGCUGAUCGUGGAGGUGUCGUGCAUUCGGUACUUGGAUCGGUUGGAUCUCAAAGACGUUUGACUACAUCAACCGCGUUACUAAACGCUUCUGCUUUCGGUCUACGAGGGUACGUAGACACACUCUCCCCUCUCGUUGCUAUGCAUCUCCUAGAUAGAUCUUGCGUGAUCGUAGGUAAAACUUUGAAAUACUGCAUUCCCCAACACCUUUACCCUUUGAUCCUAUCCUACCCACGCAGUAUUUAGAUUUUGACACUUUAAAAGAACAUAAUAUUCUCAAGGGAAAUCUUGACAACUUCACUUUUUGUUUACCAAAAGUAUGUUGUGCACACAUAUUUGCUUGCGCCUGCUCUUUUUGAUUAUCACAACAAAGGAAGAUAUUUUGUUCUUGAGAGCGAGGCCCAAGCUCACAACGCUGCAGUGGAGGCAACACGACAGGCUGAGGCAUCCGCACCGAGAGCCUCCGUGAGCUACCACGCCAACUACUAUCCAGGCUACUGAUCGAUUACCAAGUUAGGCCAAAAGCCUAAUCUUGGGGAGUACGUGUUUCCCACCGACAUUACAUUCAUGCUCACUUAUUCCAUUUGCCGGUGUUCACACUUUUUCAUUGUAUCAUCCAUGCUUAGAUUUAUUUUUCUUGCUUUCUUCUUGUGUGUUUGAAAAACUUUAGAAAAAACAAAAAAUUAGUUGUAGUUAGUUUACUUUCUAUGCAUGCUUAGUAGUAAUAUUAAAAAUAAAAUCCCCAAAAGAUUUCAUUGUUCUUCUUUUGCUUGUUGGGAGCUUUCCCGUGUAAAUAGUUUUUCUCAUUUUUGCUUUUCCCUUUUAUUUGCUUGUUCAAGAAAACCAAAAACUCCAAAAAUAUUUCAGUGUGUUUCUCUGAAUUUCUUUUCCUUUUAUUCGAUUUGUACCAAGGAGAAGACCACGAUGAAAAUGUUGAGUGGCUCCCAUAUGAACAACUGUUGAACUAAUAAAGAGCCCAUUUUACCUUGUCUUCUCCCGUUGAAUAAAAUGUUUUGCAUAUUCUAGCUUAGUGCAUGGCACUCUUGCACUAUUAUUAUUUUCACAUCGUUCGGUUGUGCAAGUGAAAGGCAAUAAUGACGAUAUUCGAUGAACUGGCCGUGGCAGAGAGAAACUGAUAUGAACUCGACUUGUUCUGUUUGUGUAAAUAUGUUUAACCUAGUACCCAUGAUUCAACCCAUUAUGAUUAAACAUGUUUGCAAUGACAAUUAGAGAUUAUAGUUUCUCAUGCCAUGCAUAAGUAGCUGGGAGUGAAUAAUGAUUUAUCCUGGAUAUCAACAUCACGUUAAAAUGAUUGUGAUGUAGUAUGAUGAUAUGGUAUCCUCCUCUGAAUGUUCGAGUGGCUUGACUUGGCAUAUGUUCAUGCAUGUAGUAGAAUCAAAACCAACAUAGCCUCUAUGAUAUUUAUGUUCAUGAUGAUCAUAUCCUACUCAUGCUAGUGUCCUAUGUUACUUAUGCAUAAUGCAUGAUCAUGAUCGUUGUUGCUCUCUAGCUGGCUGCUUCUCAAUCUAAUUGCUAGCCUUCGCCUGUAGUAAGUGGGGAUUCUGCUUAUACAUCAAAAACCCUGAACCCAAAGUUAUUCUAGAUGAGUCCACCAUACCUACCUAUAUGCGGUAUUACCCUGUCGUCCUAAGUAAAUUUGCAAGUGCCACCUCUAAAAACUUCUAAAAAAUAUAUCCUUUUUGUGUGUCUGGAUCGUUCAUGGAACGACAGGAGGUGGUCGGUAUCUUCCAUGCUAAGUGGGUUAUUCUUAGGUCGAGUGUUUAUUCACUUGCCAUCGCACGACAAAAGGGCGGUAAUAGGGAUGCCCAGUCCCAAAAUGCAAAAUACAAAAAGAGUUAAUCGCUCGAAUAAUCAAACAAAAACUCCCAAUGGAUUCAAAACCUUUACUUUUUAUCGCUUGGGAACUGCCACUAGCUUGUUUAGCAUGGGAGAUAUUGAUAACUGAUAGUCGUGAAGUAAAUGAGAAGGGUGCGUGUCUCAAAAUAUCAUUUAUCUCUGUUUUAAAACUUGAGCUCUGGCACCUCUGCAAAUCACUACUUCCCUCUGCGAAGGGACUAUCUAUUUACUUUUAUGUUGUGUCAUCACCUUCUAAAACAAGUGCUAGAACCUGAGAGCACAACUGUCAUGACUUAUGCAUUGUGUGUAGCUAAUGUUGGGUGCAUCAUGACUGGAUCUUUUCUACCAUGAAUUACAAUGUUUAGUCGCUGCUUGGACUUUGGAGGUGCUCUGCAUUUAUGUUUUGCGGUCUCAGAAAGGGCUAGCGAGAUACCACUAUUGUCAUAUUAUAUCAUGGUUGUUUUGACAACGUGUUAUCGUCUGAGAUGUCUAUUGCUCGCUAGAUGAUUGUGUCAUUGAUAUGAGUUAAUAUAAUUUUUAAGAGUUAUUGUCGUCAUGGUUAGUUAUGAUGUUGGCUGAAAACCUGGCUGCUGUUUAAGCUUAUUUAUGCAAACAAGAGCAAAAGAGUUCGUAAAAGUUUUUCUUUUUCACUUUUAGUUUAUCAACUGAGUUGCUUGAGGACAAGCAAAGGUUUAAACUUGGGGGAGUUGAUACGUCUCCAACGUAUCUACUUUUCCUAACGCUUUUCCUCUUGUUUUGGACUCUAAUUUGCAUGAUUUGAAUGAAACUACCCCCAGACUGACGCUGUUUUCAGCAGAACUACCAUGGUGUUGUUUUUGUGCAGAAAUAAAAGUUCUCGGAAUGGAAUGAAACUUUGCAAGGAUUUUUUAUAUCAAUAAUAAGAAUUUCUUGAGCCAAGACCCACCAAAGGGGGCACCUGGGUGAGCACAACCCACCAGGACGCGCCCCCUCUCCUAGCGCGCCCAGGUGGGUUGUGCCCACCUGGUGGCCCCGUAGACCCUGAAACCGAUACUAUAAAAUCCUAUUUUUCUAGAAAAAAUCAGGGAGAAAGAAUUAUCGCGAUCCACGAGACGGAGCCACCGCCACCUCCUGUUCUUUAUCAGGAGGCCAGAUCUGGAGUCCGUUUGGGGCUCCGAAGAGGGGGAUCUUCGUUCUUCGUCAUCACCAACCCUUCUCCAUCACCAAUUCCAUGAUGCUCCUCACCGAGAGUGAGGAAUUCCUUCGCAGGGCUUGAUCCCUAGUAUCCACUAUGUUCUAAGAUUGAUGUUGCUAUGACUUUACCAUGCUUAAUGCUUGUCACUUUGGGCCCGGGUUCCAUGAUUUUAGAUCUGAACCAUUUAUGUUAUCACCAUUAUAUCCAUGUUCUAGAUCCGAUCUUGCAAGUUAUAGUCACCUACUACAUGUUAUGAUUCGGGAACCCCGGAGUGACAAUAGUCGGGACCACUCCCGGUGACGACCGUAGUUUGAGGAGUUCAUGUAUUCACCGUGUGUUAAUGCUUUGUUCCGGUUCUCUUUUAAAAGGAGGCCUUAAUAUCCCUAAGUUUCCAAUAUGGACCCCGCUGCCACAGGACGGUAGGACAAAAGAUGUCAUGCAAGUUCUUUCCAUAAGCAUGUAUGACUAUUUACGGAAUACUGUUAGGGAACACAGUAUUUCAAAAAAUUCCUACGAUCACGCAAGAUCUAUCUAGGAGAUACAUAGCAACGAGAGGGGAGAGUGUGUCUACGUAUCAUCGCAGACCUAAAGCGGGAGCAUUUAGUAACGCGAUUGAGGUAGUCGAACGUCUUCACGAUCCAACCGAUCAAGUACCGAACGCACGGCACCUCCGCGAUCUACACACGUUCAGCUCGGUGACGCCUCUCAUACUCUUGAUCCAGCUUAGGCCGAGGGUGAGUUUUGUCAGCACGACGGCGUGUCGAUGGUGAUGAUGAAGUUACUGACGCAGGGCUUCGCCUAAGCACUACGACAAUAUGACCGAGGUGUAAAACUGUGGAGGGGGGCACCGCACACGGGUAAAGAUCAACUUGUGUGUCUAUGGGGUUCCCCCUCCCCUGUAUAUAAAGGAGGGGAGGAGGAGCAGGGCCGGCCACAAGGGGCGCGCCCAAGGGGGGAAUCCUACUCCUAGUAGGAGUAAGUUCCCCCCUUCCCUAGUCCUAGUAGGAGAAUAAGGAAGGAGAGGAAGAAGAGAAGGAAAGGCGGACCGACCCCCUAGCCCUAGUCCAAUUCGGUUUGGGCUAGGGGGGGCGCCACACCUUGGCCUGCCUCCUCUCUUCCACCAUUAGGCUCAUGAGGCCCAAUAACUUCCCGGGGGGUUCUGGUAACCCCCGGUACUCCGAAACUUAUCCGAACGACCCGAACCAUUCCGGUGUCCGAAUGUAGCCUUCCAAUAUAUGAAUCUUUCUGUCUCGAUCAUUUCGAUACUCCUCGUCAUGUCCGUGAUCUCUUCCGGGACUCCGAACAACCUUCGGUACAUCAAAUCACAUAACUCAUAAUACAUAUCGUCAUCGAACGUUAAGCGUGCGGACCCUACGGGUUCGAGAACUAUGUAGACAUGACCGAGACACAUCUUCGGUUAAUAACCAAUAGCAGAACCUGGAUGCUGAAAUUGUUUCCUACAUAUUCUACGAAGAUCUUUAUCGGUCAAACUGCGUAACAACAUACAUUGUUUCCUUUGUCAUCGGUAUGUUACUUGCCCGAGAUUCGAUCGUCGGUAUCAUCAUACCUAGUUCAAUCUCGUCACCGGCAAGUCUGUUUACUCGUUCCGUAAUGCAUCAUCCCGCAACUAAAUCAUUAGUCACAUUGCUUGCAAGGCUUAUACUGAUGUGCAUUACCGAGAUGGCCCAGAGAUACCUCUCCGACAAUCGGAGUGACAAAUCCUAAUCUCGAUCUAUGCCAACUCAACAAACACCAUCGGAGACACCUGUAAAGCAUCUUUAUAAUCACCCAGUUACGUUGUGACGUUUGAUAGCACACUAAGUGUUCCUCCGGUAUUCGGGAGUUUCAUAACCUCAUAGUCAUAGGAACAUGUAUAAGUCAUGAAGAAAGCAAUAGCAAUAAACUAAACGAUCAUAGUGCUAAGCUAACGAAUGGGUCUAGUCCAUAACAUCAUUCUCUAAUGAUGUGAUCCAAUUCAUCAAAUGACAACACAUGUCCAUGGCUAGGAAACUUAACCAUCUUUGAUUAAUGAUCUAGUCAAGUAGAGGCAUACUAGGGACACUCUGUUUGUCUAUGUAUUCACACAUGUACUAAGUUUCUGGUUAAUACAAUUCUAGCAUGAAUAAUAAACAUUUAUCAUGACAUAAGAAAUAUAAAUAACAACUUUAUUAUUGCCUCUAGGGCAUAUUUCCUUCAGUCUCCCACUUGCACUAGAGUCAAUAAUCUAGAUUACAUAGUAAUGAUUCUAACACCCAUGGAGUCUUGGUGCUGAUCAUGUUUUGCUCGUGAGAGAGGCUUAGUCAACGGGUCUGCAACAUUCAGAUCUGUAUGUAUCUUGAAAAUCUCUAUGUCUCCCUCCUUGACUUGAUCGCGGAUGGAAUUGAAGCGUCUCUUGAUGUGCUUGGUUCUCUUGUGAAAUCAGGAUUCCUUUGCCAAGGCAAUUGCACUAGUAUUGUCACAAAAUAUUUUCAUUGGACCCGAUGCACUAGGUAUUACACCUAGAUCGGAUAUGAACUCCUUCAUCCAGACUCCUUCAUUUGUUGCUUCCGAAUCAGCUAUGUAUUCCUCUUCAGACGUAGAUCCCGCCACAACGCUCUGCUUAGGACUGCACCAACCAACAGCUCCACCAUUCAAUAAAAAUACGCAUUCGGUUUGUGACUUAGAGUCAUCCGGAUCAGUGUCAAAGCUUGCAUCGACGUAACCAUUUACGACGAGCUCUUUAUUACCUCCAUAAACGAGAAACAUAUCCUUAGUCCUUUUCAGGUAUUUUAGGAUGUUCUUGACCGCUGUCCAGUGAUCCACUCCUGGAUUAGUUUGGUACCUCCCUACUAAACUAAUAGCAAGGCACACAUCAGGUCUGGCACACAUCAUUGCAUACAUGAUAGAAUCUAUGGCUGAGGCAUUGGGAAUGGCUUUCAUUUUCUGUCUAUCUUCUGAAGUGGUCGGGUAUUGAGUCUGACUCAACUUCACACCUUGUAACAUAGGCAAGAACCCUUUCCUUUCUUGAUCCAUUUUGAACUUCUUCAAAACUUUAUCAAGGUAUGUGCUUUGUGAAAGUCCAAUUAAGCAUCUUGAUCUAUCUCUAUAGAUCUUGAUGCCCAAUAUAUAAGCAACUUCAUCGAGGUCUUUCGUUGAAAAAUUCUUAUUCAAGUAUCCUUUUAUGCUAUUCAGAAAUUCAGUAUCAUUUCCGAUCAACAAUAUGUCCUCCACAUAUAAUAUCAGAAAUGCUACAGAGCUCCCACUCACUUUCUUGUAAAUACAGGCUUCUUCAAAAGUCUGUAUAAAACCAUAUACUUUGAUCACACUAUCAAAGCGUAUAUUCCAACUCCGAGAUGCUUCCACCAGUCCAUAAAUGGAUCGCUGGAGCUUGCACACUUUGUUAGCACCUUUUGGAUCGGCAAAACCUUCCUGUUGCAUCAUAUACAACUCUUCUUUAAGAUAUCCAUUAAGGAAUACAUUUUUUACAUCCAUUUGCUAAAUUUCAUAAUCACAAAAUGUGGCAAUUGCUAACAUGAUUCGGAUGGACUUAAGCAUCGCUACGGGUGAGAAGGUCUCAUCAUAGUCAACUCCUUGACUUGUCGAAAACCUUUCGCAACAAGUCGAGCUUUGUAGACAGUAACAUUACCGUCAACGUCAGUCUUCUUCUUGACGAUCCAUUUAUUCUCUAUGGUUUGCCGAUCAUUGGGCAAGUCAACCAAAGUCCACACUUUGUUCUCAUACAUGGAUCCCAUCUCAGAUUUCAUGGCCUCAAGCCAUUUUGCGGAAUCUGGGCUCAUCAUCGCUUCCUCAUAGUUUGUAGGUUCGUCAUGGUCAAGUAACAUGACCUCCAGAACAUGAUUACCAUACCACUCUGGUGUGGAUCUUACUCUGGUUGACCUACGAGGUUCGGUAGUAACUUGAUCAGAAGUUUCAUGAUCAUCAUCAUUAGCUUCCUGACUAAUUGGUGUAGGAAGCACUGGAACUGAUUUCUGUGAUGAACUACUUUCCAAUAAGGGAGAAGGUACAAUUACCUCAUCAAGUUCCUCCCACUCACUUCUUUCGAGAGAAACUCCUUCUCUAGAAAGGAUCCGUUCUUAGCAAUGAAUAUCUUGCCUUCGGAUCUAUGAUAGAAGGUGUACCCAACAGUCUCCUUUGGGUAUCCUAUGAAGACGCAUUUCUCAUAUUUGGGUUCGAGCUUAUUAGGUUGAAGCUUUUUCACAUAAGCAUCGCAGCCCCAAACUUUAAGAAAUGACAACUUGGGUUUCUGGCCAAACCACGGUUCAUAUGGUGUCGUCUCAAUGGAUUUCAAUGGUGCCCUAUUUAACGUGAAUGCAACCGUCUCUAAAGCGUAACCCCAAAACGAUAGCGGUAAAUCAGUAAGAGACAUCAUAGAUCGCACCAUAUCUAAUAAAGUGCGGUUACGAUGUUCGGACACACCAUUACGCUGCGGUGUUCCAGGUGGCGUGAUCUGCGAAACUAUUCCACAUUGUUUCAAAUGAAGACCAAACUCAUAAUUCAAAUAUUCACCUCCAUGAUCAGAUUGUAGAAACUUAAUUUUCUUGUUACGAUGAUUCUCCAUUUCACUCUGAAAUUCUUUGAACUUUUCAAAUGUUUCAGACUUAUGUUUCAUCAAGUAGAUAUACCCAUAUCUGCUCAAAUCAUCUGUAAAGGUUAGAAAAUAACGAUACCCUCCACGAGCAUCAACACUCAUCGGACCGCAUACAUCAGGAUGUAUUAUUUCCAAUAAGUCUGUUGCUCGUUCCAUUGUUGCCGAGAACGGAGUCUUAGUCAUCUUGCCCAUGAGGCAUGGUUCGCAAGCAUCAAGUGAUUCAUAAUCAAGUGAUUCCAAAAGCCCAUCAACAUGGAGUUUCUUCAUGCGCUUUACACCAAUAUUGAAGGAAAUAUGCCCUAGAGGCAAUAAUAAAGUUGUUAUUUAUAUUUCUUUAUAUCAUGAUAAAUGUUUAUUAUUCAUGCUAGAAUUGUAUUAACCGAAAACUUAGUAUAUGUGUGAAUACAUAGACAAAUAGAGUGUCACUAGUAUGCCUCUACCUGACUAGCUCGUUGAUCAAAGAUGGUUAAGUUUCCUAGCCAUGGACAAAGAGUUGUCAUUUGAUAAACAUGAUCACAUCAUUAGAGAAUGAUGUGAUUGACUUGACCCAUCCGUUAGCUUAGCACUUUGAUCGUUUAGUUUAUUGUUUUUGCUUUGUCCAUAACUUAUACAUGUUCCUAUGACUAUGAGAUUAUGCAACUCCGAAUACCGAAGGAACACUUAGUGUGCUAUCAAACGUCACAACGUAACUUGGUGACUAUAAAGAUGCUCUACAGGUGUCUCCGAUGGUGUUCGUUGAGUUGGCAUGGAUCGAGAUUAGGGUUUGUCACUCCAUGUAUCGGAGAGGUAUCUCCGGGGCCUCUCGGUAAUCCACAUCACUAUAAGCUUUGCAAGCAAUGUGACUAAUGAGUUAGUUAUGGGAUGUUGCACUACGGAACAAGUAAAGAGACUUUCCAGUAACGAGAUUGAACUAGGUAUUGAGAUACCGACGAUCGAAUCUCGGGCAAGUAACAUACCGAUGACAAAGGGAACAACGUAUGUUGUUAUGCAGUUUGACCGAUAAAGAUCUUCGUAGAAUAUGUAGGAACCAAUAUGAGCAUCCAGGUUCCGCUAUUGGUUAUUGACCGGAGAUGAGUCUCGUUCAUGUCUACAUAGUUCUCGAACCCGUAGGGUCCGCACGCUUAACAUUCGGUGACGAUUGAUAUUAUGAGUUUAUGUGUUUUGAUGUACCGAAGGUAGUUCGGAGUCCCGGAUAUGAUCACGGACAUGACGAGGAGUCUUGGAGUGGUCGAGACAUAAAUAUCGAUAUAUUGGAAGCCUAUGUUUGGACAUUGGAAUGGUUCCAGGUGAGUUCGGGCAUUUACCGGAGUACUGGGGGGUUACUGGAACCCCCCGGGGAGUAUAUGGGCCUUAUUGGGCCUUAGUGGAAUAGAGGAGAGGAAGGUCAAGGAGGAGGGCGCGCCCCCUAUCCCAAUCUGAAUUGGGUGGGGGCCCAACUCCCCUUCCUUCCUUCUCUCCCCCCCUUCCUUCUCUCCCGCUCCUACUAGGUAAGGGGGGGGGAUCCUACUCCAGGUGGGAGUAGGACUCCCCCUAGGGCGCGCCAUAGAGAGGGCCGGCCCUCCCCUCCUCCACUCCUUUAUAUACGGGGGAGGGGGGCACCCCAUAGACACACAAGUUGAUCUCUUAGGGUGCUCCCCUCCAUAGAUUUCCACCUCGGUCAUAUCGUUGUAGUGCUUAGGUGAAGCCCUGCGUCGGUAACUUCAUCAUCACCAUCAUCAAGCCGUUGUGCUGAUGAAGCUGUCCCCCAACACUCAGCUGGAUCUAGAGUUCGUGGGACGUCACCGAGAUGGACGUGUGCAGAUCGCAGAGGUGCCGUACCUUCGGUGCUAGCAUUGGUCGAAUCGUGAAGACGUACGACUACAUCAACAUCGUUGUCAUAAUGCUUUCGCUUACGGUCUACAAGGGUACGUAGACAACACUCUCCCCUCUUGUUUCUAUGCAUCUCCUAGAUGGAUCUUGCUUGAUCGUUGGAAUUUUUUCGAAAUACUGCGUUCCCCAACAAAUAUGAUCUAAAUGACAGUUCCACAAAUAAGUUGCACUAUCAUUAUUAAACUUAUAUCUUUUGGCUUCAAUACUAUGAAUAUGUGUAUCACUACUAUCGAGAUUCAAUAAAAAUAGACCACUAAUCAAGGGUGCAUGACCAUAAAAGAUAUUACUCAUAUAAAUAGAACAUCCAUUAUUCUCUAAUUUAAAUGAAUAACCGUCUCGCAUCAAACAAGAUCCAGAUAUAAUCUUCAUGCUUAACGCUGGCACCAAAUAACAAUUAUUCAAGUCUAAAACUAUUCCCGAAGGUAUAUGUAGAGGUAGCGUGCCGACUGCGAUCACAUCAACUUUGGAACCAUUUCCCACGCGCAUCGUCACCUCGUUCCUUAGCCAAUCUUCGCUUAAUCCAUAGCCCCUGUUUCGAGUUGCAAAUAUGAGCAACAGAACCAGUAUCAAAUUCCCAGGCGCUACUGCGAGCAUUAGUAAGGUACACAUCAAUAACAUGUAUAUCAAAUAUACCAUUCACUUUGCCAUCCUUCUUAUCCGCCAAAUGCUUGGGGCAGUUCAACUUCCAGAGACCAGUCCCUUUGCAGUAGAAGCACUCAGUCUCAGGCUUAGGCCCAGACUUGGGUUUCUUCAUUCGAGCAACAACUUGCUUGCCAUUCUUCUUGAAGUUCCCCUCUUCCCUUUGCCCUUCUUCUUGAAACUAGUGGUCUUGUUGACCAUCAACACUUGAUGCUCCUUCUUGAUUUCUACCUCCGCAUCUUUUAGCAUUGUGAAGAGCUCGUGAAUUUUCUUAUCUAUCCCUUGCAUAUUAUAGUUCAUCAUGAAGCUUUUGUAGCUUCGUGGCAGUGAUUGAAGAACUCUGUCAAUGACACUAUCAUCAGGAAGAUUAACUCCUAGUUGAGUCAAGUGGUUCUGGUAACCAGACAUUCUGAGUAUAUGUUCACUGACAGAACUAUUCUCCUCCAUCUUGCAGCUAUAGAACUUAUUGGAGACUUCAUAUCUCUCAAUUCGGGCAUUUUCUUGAAAUAUUAACUUCAACUCCUGGAACAUGUCAUAUGCCCCAUGACGUUCAAAACAUCGUUGAAGUCCCGAUUCUAAGCUGUAAAGCAUGGCACACUGAACUAUUGAGUAGUCAUCAGCUUUGCUCUGCCAGACGUUCAUAACAUCUGGUGUUGCUCCUGCAGCGGGCUUUGCACCUAGUGGUGCUUCUAGGACGUAAUUCUUCUGUGCAGCAAUGAGGAUAAUCCUCAAGUUACGGAACCAGUCCGUGUAGUUGCUACCAUCAUCUUUCAACUUAGCUUUCUCUAGGAACGCGUUAAAAUUCAAAGGAACAGUAGCACGGGCCAUUUAUCUAUAACAACAUAGACAUGCAAAAUACUAUCAGGUACUAAGUUCAUGAUAAAUUAAAGUUCAAUUAAUCAUAUUACUUAAGAACUCCCACUUAGAUAGACAUCCCUCUAGUCAUCUAAAUGAUCACGUGAUCCAUAUAAACUAAUCCAUGUACGAUCAUCACGUGAGAUGGAGAAAUUUUCAAUGGUGAACAUCACUAUGUUGAUCAUAUCUACUAUAUGAUUCACGCUCGACCUUUCGGUCUCAGUGUUCCGAGGCCAUAUCUGCAUAUGCUAGGCUCGUCAAGUUUAACUUGAGUAUUAUGCUUGUGCAAAACUAGCUUGCACCCGUUGUAUGUGAAUGUAGAGCUUCUCACACCCGAUCAUCACUUGGUGUCUCGGCACGACGAACGAUAGCAACAGUGCAUACUCAGGGAGAACAUUUAUACCUUGAAAUUUAGUGAGAGAUCAUCUUAUAAUGCUACCGCCGUACUAAGCAAAAUAAGAUGCAUAAAAGAUAAACAACACAUGCAAUCAAUAUAAGUGAUAUGAUAUGGCCAUCAUCAUCUUGUGCCUUCGAUCUCCAUCUCCAAAGCACCAUCAUGAUCACCAUCGUCACCGGCUUGACACCUUUAUCUCCAUCGUAGCAUUGUUCUCGUCUCACCAACUAUUUCUUCAAUGACUACCGCUACCGCUUAGUGAUAAAGUAAAGCAAUUACAUGGCGAUUGCAUUUCAUACAAUAAAGCAACAACCAUAUAGCUCCUGCCAGUUGUCGAUAACUUUGUUACAAAACAUGAUCAUCUCAUACAACAAUUUAUAUAAUCACGUCUUGACCAUAUCACAUCACAAAAUGCCUUGCAAAGACAAGUUAGACGUCCUCUAAUUUGUUGUUGCAAGUUUUACGUGGCUGCUACGGGCUUAGCAAGAACCGUUCUUACCUACGCAUAAAAAACCACAACGAUUUUUCAUCAAGUGUGUUGUUUUAACCUUCAACAAGGACCAGGCGUAGUCACACUCGAUUCAACUAAAGUUGGAGAAAUAGACACCCACUAGCCACCUGUGUGCAAAGCACAUCGGUAGAACCAGUCUCACGAACGCGGUCAUGUAAUGCCGGUCUGGGCAGCUUCAUCCAACAAUAACACUGAAUCAAAGUCGGACAUGCUGGUAAGCAGUAUGACUAUUAUCGCCCUCAAAUAUUUGUGUUCUACUCAUGCAUAUAACAUCUACGCAUAGACCUGGCUCUGAUGCCACUGUUGGGGAACGCAGUAUUUCAAAAAAAUUCCUACGAUCACGCAAGAUCUAUCUAGGAGAUGCAUAGCAACGAGAGGGGAGAGUGUGUGUAUGUACCCUCGUUGACCAAAAGCGAAAGCGUUUAGUAAUGCGGUUGAUGUAGUCGAACGUCUUCGCGAUCCAACCGAUCAAGUACCGAAUAAAUGACACCUCCGUGAUCUGCACACGUUCAGCUCGAUGACGUCCCUUGUUCUCUUGAUCCAGCUGAGGACGAGGGUGAGGUUCAUCAGCACGACGAUGUGUCGACGGUGAUGAUGAAGUUACCGAUGCAGGGCUUUGCUUAAGCACUACGACAAUAUGACCGAGGUGUAAAACUGUGGAGGGGGGCACUGCACACGGCUAAAGAUCAACUUGUGUGUCUAUGGUGUGCCCCUCUGAUACGUCCCCAUCGUAUCUACUUUUCCAAACACUUUUGCCCUUGUUUUGGACUCUAACUUGCAUGAUUUGAAUGGAACUAACCCGGACUGACGUUGUUUUCAGCAGAAUUGCCAUGGUGUUAUUUUUGUGCAGAAAUAAAAGUUCUCGGAAUGACCUAAAAAUCAGCGGAGAAUAUUUUUGGAAUAUAUAAAAAAUACUGGCGAAAAAAUCAAGGCCAGGGACCCACACCCUGUCCAGGAGGGUGGGGGCGCGCCCAGGGGGUGGGCCCCCUGGUGCUCCACUGACCUGAACUCAAACUCUAUAUAUUCACGUUCGAGGGGAAAACCUAGAGAGAAGGAUUCAUCGCGUUUUACAAUACAGAGCCGCCGCCAAGCCAUAAUCUCUCUUCGGAGGGCUGAUCUAGAGUCCGUUCGGGGCUUCGGAGAGGGGAAUCCGCCGCCAUUGUCAUCAUCAACCUUCCUCCAUCACCAAUUUCAUGAUGCUCACCGCCGUGCGUGAGUAAUUCCAUAAUAGGCUUGCUGGACAGUGAUGGGUUGGAUGAGAUUUAUCAUGUAAUUGAGUUAGUUUUGUUACGGUUUGAUCCCUAGUAUCCGUUAUGUUCUGAGAUUGAUGUUGCUAUGACUUUGCUAUGCCUAAUGCUUGUCACUAGGGCCCAAGUGCCAUGAUUUCAGAUCUGAACCUAUUAUGUUUUCAUGAAUAUAUGUGAGUUCUUGAUCCUAUCUUGCAAGUCUAUAGUCACCUAUUAUGUGUUAUGAUCCGUUAACCCUGAAGUGACAAUAAUCGGGAUACUUACCGGUGAUGACCGUAGUUUGAGGAGUUCAUGUAUUCACGAAGUGUUAAUGCUUUGGUCUGGUACUCUAUUAAAAGGAGGCCUUAAUAUCCCUUAGUUACCAAUAGGACCCCGCUGCCAUGGGAGGGUAGGACAAAAGAUGUCAUGCAAGUUCUUUUCCAUACGCACGUAUGACUAUAUUCGGAA
rnacentral:lncRNA from 1 species